AUCACACUCAGCAUAUUUGCUUAGUUGAGAAGACAUUGACCUUUGACUUGUCACAAAUUGGCCACGAAUUGGUCGCCUGGGGAACAACGGGGGAGCUUUCUAGGAAGCAGCAGUAGGCACAAGCGACAUGCAAAUGCAAGGCCAAAGACUUGACUGAAACAUCUCAAAGAGAGGAAGGCCACACAAGCAUCUCCGAAGCAUUUCCACAAAUUCACAGCCGGCCAGGCUCUGCAUCUUCUGCCUCUACAACGCCGGAUCUGCUGCAGCUGCUGCUCCCGUUCCUGCUCUGCGUCCACCACGGUUGCGAGAUUGGAUUUUCGGUCUGUCAUUCUCCGGUUAAAAAACAGGUCGUCUCAAGCCCUGCAUCCCUCUUGCUCACACCAUUCUCUUCUCCACUGAUUCCACGGUGUUCUUUCGAUCCUUUCAAUGGCCGAGGUGGUUGUUGGAAUCAUGUGUCUUGCAACUAUAUUCAAAUUGGUCGAAAUCGUUAAUACUCGAAAGAUCAUCAUUAUGGAAUUACACAUGUAUUUGUACAUCGAAUUACUUUACAUGACUGGCUUGUAAUCAUUAUUUGUUGGAAUGCACUUAAGUAUUACUGUGCUCAAGGAAGCCCAUGGAUUAUCCAUGGAAUAUAAUGUACUACUAGUAGCAAUCGCUGACUAAUCAUUUCGUGCAAUUCGUACAUAUUGUGGGCAAAGGAGGAGACGGAUGUGCAGUGUAUAUAGGAAGGUUUUCAGCUUAAGCAGAGCUAAAUAUGGUGAACAAAUUUAUUUAUAUAGAAGUUUCUUUCGUCCAUAACACCUCAAAUUAAAUAAAGAGAAAAGUAUGUUUUUGGUCCAGUUUUCAAAAAGUAUACACUUGGUCCCUCAGAAAAUUUUGGUAUACAUCUGGUCCCUCAAGUCUCAAAAUCGGAUAAGUUUGGUCCUAAACCAGAUUUUGAGCCCGUUGACCGGGUUUGACCGUCACGAAACCACCUGAUGAACAGUACUUAAAAAAAUAAAAAUAAAAUAUAAAAAAAACUGAAUUUUUUUGGGAUCUAAUAUGCUUACAUGCGCAAGGUCGACCAAAAUUCCGUGCUCUUUCGACACUCGAGGAGCGGUUGGUUAAAAAAAUCUUCCUGGUGAAUAGUAAUCCAAAAAAAUUCAAAACAAUUUUAUAAAAAUGAAAAAAAAAUUGGGUCCAAUAUGCUUACAUGCGCAACGUGCGACCGAAAGUUUGUCAUGAAAUAAUAUCGGACGGGCUCUAGCAAAAAAAACAAAUUUUGGCUAUUUUUUGUGAGCAAAAAUUUGUUUUUUUGCCACGGGCUCCUCGAAUGUCGAAAGACGACCAACUUUUGGUCGCACUGAGCAUAUAAGUACAUUAGACCUCAAAUAAUUUCAGAUUAUUUUGAAUUUUUUCAAAUAUUUUUUGAAUUUACGGUUCAUCGAACAUAGAUAUUUUUGUUUUUUUGCCAGGAGGUCCUCGAGUGUGGAAAUACCAUAAAAUUUUGGCCGCACCUUGCGCAUGUAAGCAUGUUGGACAAUUUUUUUUAAAAUUAUUGUUCAUCAGGCGGUUUUGUGGCGGUCAAACCCGGUCAACGGGCUCAAAAUCUGGUUUACGACCAAACUUAUCCGGUUUUAAGCUUGAGGGACCAAAUGUAUACCAAAAAAUCUUGAGGAACCAAGUCUAUACUUUUUGAAAACUUAAGGGAUCAAAAACAUAGUUUUCUUUUAAAUAAAGUACAUAAUGUUCUUUCAAUAAUUGAAUUUGUUCUGUUCAAAAGGCACAAUAGUGUAACAUGGAAUAUUGUUCAAAUACGUCGUCACCGAUGGCUGUUGCACGCUAACAACAGAAAACCCACUUCAUAGAACUACAUUUACUAGGGGGACAGUGUGACGUUCCCAACGCUGGAAUUCUUAUUGCACAUCCUGUAGCUGAUGUCCGCGUAAGUUCUACAGAACCACAUAGAUCAACGAUAUAAAAUUUAGAUGAUGAUAAAUGGAUCAGUGCCAGCGCCGGGAUGGCGACGCGUCUCCAACUCGUGAACAAUUCGAGUUCAUGUUGCCGAUAUCCGCUAUCGCUCAGAACCGCUGUUGUUGAGUCAUCAACAACGCCAUUUAUUCGCCAAAGAGAUUAGGGGGUGAUCGGGAAGAAAAGAAGAAGAAAGGACAUGGCUAGGCCGCUAGUGAUAAAAAAUGGUAGACAUACACACACAGUAUUUCAAUCAUUCAAUGGGAUGGGCACGUGCCUCUACUAAUGACCAAUUAAAAACUCCCACAAGAUGUAACCCCUCAUCCCUGUAACACCUUGUAAGUAUAGCAAAGCUCGCUAGAGAUCGCUCAGGCGCCCGUUCGCAUGAUCGGGAAGGCAGUAUUACGCGUAGGCGCGACCGUCAUAUCCAUGGGGCGUACCAUUAAAUCUAUCCAUGCAACAUUUUUUUUUAAUACAGUAAAUUUUGGCACGAUGCAAUAAUUUUCGUCAACGGCUGCAACAAAAAAAUAAUUGUAGCAAAAAAAUAUCUACGUGAUCGUAGUAAAAAAACGAAGUUGAUGAUGCGUGAUAGCAAAACAAAAUAAGGGUUGUAGCAAAACAAUCUAGUGAACUCGGGUUGCAACUCUAACGAACGUGUACGCAACUUUUUUUAGUGAACGGUUGAAGCAAAAAAUGAUGCCGAUUGUAGCAAAAAUUAACACGGUUAUAGCAAAAAAAUUCAACUAACUCGAGUUACAACCAAACGUGAAUGUAGCUUUUUUAAUGAACAAAAUGUAACAAAAAAUAAAAAGCGCUUGUAGCAAAUUUUAUUGCGGUUGUAGCAAAUCUGGACAAAAAAUGUUGCAUGCACUGACAAGCCACAACGCGUGGGCCGCACGCGACCGGCCGAACGAUUUUUUUUUUGAAGGAAAACUGUAAGGGGACCCCAUAGCGAGUUUUUUUAAAAUAAUAAGAACCCUAAUUCGCGCCCAUGGGGACUUGAACCUGGGUGGCUGGGUUGUACAUCCACUCCACUAGCAAGGCUCACUUCUUGGCCGGGAACAUUUACCGAUCCGGAAUACCUUUCUUUUUUGAAGGAAACCGACUGGUUUCCCACAUGACCACGUGAUCCUAUAAGAAAAACUGCUAAUAUCUUUUGUCACAUGCAUUUAUUUAGAAUUGACUAAUAAAUAUGUAUGUGCGUUACAACGCAAGAGUAAGUAUUUAUUUAUCCGAGCCAUUGUCUUCAUUUCGAUUCACCUACCACCACACUUAGAUACCAACAGUCGGUGUCUUUCAACACUAAGGAGAAUAUUUCAAUAAAUUAAGUCUAUUAAAAAACCUAUAUGUGUCACUGUUACAUGCAGCAGAUGAAAUACAAAAUAAGAUCCUAUGUAUCAGUUGCAACAUUAAUGUUCAUGACUAUCACAAGAAUUGUUUGAAUAUAUUUAAAAUAAAUUCUUCAUGUACUUAUAAUGUUUAUGAAUUUAAUAAGUGUAUGUAUAUGCUAUAAAAAUUAUUUGUGUAUUCAUUAUGGAAAAUAAUUGUGUCGUCCGUUGGUAAGUACGCGGGUGGAUUUGGUGAAAGGAAAUACAUAUGUAGCGUCUUCAAUCAUGUGACAUUUAAAAAAGAGAUGCUGGUGGAAGUACAACAUGCCUACGGAUGGUAGUUGAUUCAUUGUAAUUAUUUCCUUGCCAAGCAACACAGAGCAAUGCGUGUGGCAUGUUCAUUUGUAUUACAAAUUGACGUCGGUACAAAGAGAUGACGAAUCAUGCACCAUUUAUUUAGAUUGCAUCCUAAAUAUAUUAUUUUUAAAAUAUUAUACGCAUUUUUCUAAUCAAAUUUCAUAUAUAAUAUGUUAAAAUUAAAGUUAUGGUUUAAAAUAUAUGAUUAUUUUAAAAAAUCUAUUCUAGAUGGACUGCAGGUUGUUUAACACAAAUAUUAGGGGUUAUAUGUAAAAAUUCAAAAAAAAGUUUGUUGUGACUUAAAGUCAGACUGGGGGUUCAUUAGUAUAAAAUUCAGGGGGCUUUUUAAAAAGAAAAAACAAUUCGUCUGACUUAAACCAUACUACAAGUUGAUUUCCUAAAGCUAUAGGGGCUUUUCUAAAAAAUGGCCGACAACGGACAACCAGGAGCAUUAGCUGUUUUAGUAUUAAGAGAUAGAGAUAGAGAUCUUUUUAAAAUGUUAUAACUUCUGAACAGAGUAUCAAAACAUAGAACACUUUUCAUCAUUGGAUUUGUUAUGUCGAGUUCUUCAAAACUAGAUCCCAUAUGAUAGGUUUCGUCGAAAUUCUUUUCAUGAGUAACUUUGGGUGCGAUGGAGGAAAAAUUGGUGCUAUAGGGAUGCAUUGGUUGGGUCGGGCAACUUGCGGUUCUUGGCUACUCAACAUCAGAUUCAAAAGAGUUACCGUGACCACUAGUGGGGACAGGGCCUAUAGUCCCGGCCCGUAAGGGGCUUUAGUCCCGGUUCAACAAACGGGACCAAAGGGGCGGGACUAAAGGCCUAACCUUUAGUCCCGGCCCUGUUCCAAGCCGGGACCAAAGGUGCUCCACGUGGGCGCCUCGGAGCGCCCUCAGGGGCAGGCCCUUUAGUCCCGGGUCUUUACACGGACCGGGACUAAAGAGUUUCAGAUUUUGUUUAUUUUUGGGUUUUAGGGUUUUAGGGUUUAGGUGUUCGGAAGAUUAACAUGAUGCCUCGUUUAGUGUUCGGGAAUUAGUUUUCAUAUAAUUCUAAAUAGAAAUAAUUAUGCAUAUAUAUAUAUAUAUAAGAUUAACUUAUCUUACAAGCGAGCAUAUAUAUACAAUUAUAUGGAGAUCUGAAUUAUCGGGACUAGAGCCCGUCUAUUCGAUUACAUGGACCAACAUCAGUAAUGGCCCCUAGCUACACUAAAUCGUCCUUUGUCAUCUAUAACUUCCGUCCUGAGAAAGGUCGCAAGCUCCUCUGCAACAACAAUCGCGCGUUGCUCUGGUAGGGACUUCUCCCUCAUGACCGUGUACUAUAUAAGAAGAGGAGAUGAAUAUGAAUAUCAAUCAGGAUAACAAAGAAUGACGGGUAAAAAUAGAGGUGUGAAUGUUCAUUGCUUACGUCGAAUUUGUGAUCCUUGUGCUCAGAGGUAAACGUGCGAAUGGUCUCGCAAACAUAGUAUCCGCAUAGAUGCGUCCCCCGUGGCUGUUGGUCGCACUUUACGAGAAUAGAAUAUACACUACUAGGAAAAGGGCUAUAGAUGAUAUAGAUACUAAUGGCGCACCACACAAGCAGUGCGCCACUAUUAUAUAGUAAUGGCGCACCAUGUGAGGUGUGUCAUUAGUGUGGUGGAUACUAAUGGCGCACCACACUCUCGGUGCGCCACUACUAUAUAUAUAUUUUUUUUUGCAAAACUACUAAUGGCGCACCAGCACCUGGUGCGCCAUUAGUAACCUGGUUACUAAUGACGCAUAUGUUAGUAGUGCGCCACUACUAUAAAAAAAAUUGGUUUUUUUUUGCAAACUACUAAUGACGCACCAAAGCUAGUGCGCCAUUAGUAACCAGUGUUACUAAUGGCGCAUCUAUUGGUGGUGCGCCACUACUAUUUUUUUUACAGAACUACUAAUGGCGCACCAGAGGAGGUGCGUCAUUAGUAACCAGGGUUACUAAUGGCGCAUAUGUAGGUGGUGCGCCAUUAGUAACCUGGGACCAGCUAGAUAUUUUGGACAGCCACCUACCACACUCACUUUCCCCACUUUCAUUCUCUCCACCUCCUCCUCCAAGCUUGUCUCGGGUGCCUCCUCCUCCUCACCUCAUUUGCAUCAUAGAUUCACCCAAAUGAAGUGGUUAAAUUACCUUUUUUGAUAGGUAAGUAAGGGGAAAGCUUUUAUAUUGUAGAUCUACUUUUUUCUCCCUGCAACAACGUGCACAUGCACUUUUUAUGGCCUAGCUAGAUCUACGUAUGUUUGUUGUGUUGCAUAUGUUUGUGGUGUUGCAUAUAUGUUUGUGUUUGCAGGUACCGGUAUUUGAAAUGCGAUAGUUGCCAAUUUUUUCCGGAAUGUUGAUUCAUUUCCGUUUCGGCGAGAAUUUGGCACUAUGCAUUCUUUUUUGUCCUAUUUUUAGGCAAAGUCAUGCCAAUUUUUUUUGGUUCUAAAAUAUCAUUUUGCUCUACCCCGCAGGCGACCAUAGUCCGCACGAUGACCGAAGGCAUCGUGAAUAGGUUUUUGAGCUCCGCGAAGGCCGAGAUGCUUCAAAAGAACGAGACGGAGAUAAGAUGUCUGUGUCGAAGAUGCAAGCUGAAGAGCCUUAUGGACCCGGAUUCCGUAAAGGUGCGGGACCACCUGCUCUUGCGUGGUUUCAUGGAUGGCUAUCGGUGGCAAGGUGAUGAAGAUGAUUAUGAAGUCGUCCAUGGGGGGCGGGAAAGAAAUGAGGAAGGGCAUGAGCAAGACAACCGCGGCGAGGGCGGGCGAGAAGACGAAGAAUCUCCAGGACACAGUCAUCAUGUAGAAGAUGCCGGACAUGAUGAUGAGGAAGAUGCCGGAGCAGACGAAGGGCAUGAUCAUGAAGAUGAAGAUGCCAGAGCAGACGACGAUGGACCAUCCAUGGCCUGGGUGCAGGACCCUCAUAUUCAAGAGCUGCUUCUCAAGCAGACGGAUAACGCAAGAGCUGCCGCCCGAGAGAAAGCCAAGCUGGAUCAACUGGAGAUAGACGCGGUUACUCCAUUGUAUGAAGGAUGCAGGCCCGAGGAUACCCGCCUGAAAGUAAUGCUCAUGGCUCUGGAGAUGAAGGUAAAACACAAAAUGACCGACGCAUGCUUCGACGAGAACAUGUCAUUCUGGCACGAACGUCUUCCCAAGGGGAACAAGUGCCCGACCAGUUUCGAGGAGGCGAAGAAAAUCGUGUGUCCUCUGGAUUUACCGCACGUGAAAUACCAUGUGUGCAUGAACAAUUGCAUCAUUUAUCAGGACAAGCACGCGGAGUCUACCAUAUGUCCGGUGUGCGGCGUCAGUCGAUACAAGAAGAGGAAGAAAGCUCCUCAAAAAGUGGUGUGGUACUUUCCGAUCACUCCUCGUCUGCAACGGUAUUUCGCGGACCCUAAGGUAGCAAAGCUCAUGCGUUGGCACGCGGAUAGGGAGGAGAAAAAGCGAGAAGAUGACGGAAAUGAUCCGGAGAUAAAUAAAAAAGACAAGAUGCUGAGUCACCCUAAGGAUGCGAGCCAGUGGCAAGCGUUGAACUACGAAUACCCAGAAUUUGGGGACGAUCCAAGGAACAUCGUGCUGGGCGCGAGCACCGAUGGAGUCACUCCGUUUGGCAGCCAGAGAAGCACACAUAGCACCUGGCCUGUGUUUGUGUGGAUGUACAACCUUCCCCCUGGUUGUGCAUGAAGAGGAAGUACAUUCACAUGAGUAUGCUAAUUGAAGGGCCGAAACAACCAGGGAACAACAUCAAUCUAUAUCUGGGGCUGCUGAAAGAGGAGCUAGACACGCUGUGGAAAACGCCAGCCAAUACGUGGGACGCCGCAGAGAAAGAAUAUUUCCCUAUGAGACCCGCACUGCUCACGACGGUGCACGACUAUCUCGGUUACGGAUAUGUCGCGGGGCAGGUGGUCCACGGAUUUUCUAGAUGCGUCAGGUGCAUGGAUGACACAUUGUAUCGCCAGCUAGAUAGAGAUCCCGGGUCUUCAAAAAUCGUGUUCAUGGGACAUCGAAGGUGGCUUCGCGACGAUGACACAUGGAGAAAACGCAAGGAUCUGUUCGAUGGUGAAACCGAACCCCGAAGACGGCCCCUUAUGAGGAGCGGCCAGGAAAUAUACGAGUUGUUGAAAAAUUGGAAAGAGUGCCCACCGCCAGGAAAGGCGCCACAGCCGGGAAAGAAGCGAAAGGCGCCAGAGCCGCUGCUGAAGGUAUGGAAAACGAGGUCUGUUUUCUGGGACUUGCCGUACUGGAAGAUCCUCCGUGUGCCUCACAGCCUUGAUGUCAUGCAUAUCACGAAGAACGUGUGCGAGAGUCUGCUUGGUACCCUGCUCAACAUGCCAGAGAGGACCAAAGAUGGACCGAAAGCAAGGGCAGACUUGAAAUCAAUGGGCAUCAGGGAGGAGCUUCACGCUAAUAAUGAUGAUGAUGAUGAUGAUGAUGAGGCGAAGCAGGACAAGGAAAGUCGUCGCAAAGGCAAAAAGUACAAGAAGACCGGAAAUGACUUCCCUCCCGCGUGCUUCACUCUAAGUCAGGAGGAGAUCGAUCAGUUUUUCACCUGCCUCGUAGGAGUAAAACUUCCUUACGGUUACGCGGGGAAGAUAAGCAGAUACCUAGACUCAGCGAAGCAGAAGUUUAGCGGGAUGAAGUCUCACGACUGUCACGUGCUGAUGACGCGGAUACUUCCAGUUGCAAUCCGUGGGAUCAUGGACGCGCACGUCCGUGAAACGCUAUUUGGCCUAUGCAACUUUUUUGACGUCAUCUCUCGGAAGUCGGUUGGCGUGAGGCAACUUAGAAGGCUACAGGAAGAGAUCGUGGUGAUACUAUGCGAGCUUGAGAUGUACUUCCCGCCCGCAUUCUUCGACGUUAUGGUGCAUCUGCUGGUCCAUAUCGUGGAGGAUAUCAUCCAACUCGGGCCGACGUUCCUGCACAGCAUGAUGCCGUUCGAAAGGAUGAAUGGUGUCAUCAAAGGAUACGUUCGCAACAUGUCACGUCCAGAGGGAAGCAUAGCCAGGGGCUUUCUGACCGAAGAGUGCAUCUCCUACUGCACGAAUUAUCUAGGCAUCGAGAACCCCGUUGGUCUGCCCGUCAACAGGCACCUCGGCAGGCUCGCAGGAUGGGGUCACCGUGAGGGUCGCCGCGAAAUGCAUGUCGACUUCGAGGGUCGACUCGCUGACUUUGAAAGAGCAAACCUAGUCGCGCUACAACAAAUAGACGUGGUCGAUCCUUGGGACGUAGAGCACAAAACCUUUAUUGAAAAGACGUACAAUGACCGAGGCCAACAGAGGACGGACGGAGAUAUAAUCAAAGAGCACAACUCAUGUUUCACGCGUUGGUUCAAGCAGAAGCUUUUGUCGUACCCUUUACAUGAGGAUUCUUCCGCGGAAGAACAACUCAUAUUCGCCUUGUCACAGGGCGCCGAGCACAACCUGAUGACGUAUGAGGCGUACGAUACCAACAGCUACACAUUCUACACCGAGGGAAAGGACAUGAAGAGCGAUGGUUAUCAGAACUCCGGGGUAACGAUGGAAUCCUACACCGGUAACGACAAGGACAGAUACUACGGAAGGAUCGAGGAGAUUUGGGAGUUGAGCUACGCUGGAGAGAAGGUCCCGAUGUUCCGUGUCAGAUGGGCCAAGAGCGUCAUAAAAGAAGACCGGUAUUUCACCACCAUGGUUAUACCCGAAGCCAAAUCCAAGACCGCGGGCGCAAACAUCACCGCGAAAAAUGAGCCAUGGUUACUAGCUUCCCAAGUGGACCAAUGCUUCUUCAUUACCGACCCGCCAAAGCCCAGUCGUGUUGUCAUGAGGAGAGGCAAAAGGAAGAUCAUCGGAAUGGAUGGAGUCGCCAAUGAGCAAGACUUCGACAAGUACGGCGACCCGAAGAUGGAACAUGACGACGAUGAUGAAGUACCAGCAUACACCACAAGAAGAAGCAGGACCACCCUACCUAAAGGACGUCCGUUCAAGAGAAGAACUCCAUUUACGAAAAAUAAGGGCAAGAAGAUUGUGAACAAAUAGCUAGCUAAGAUCGAUUGUAUUUAAAUUUGAUGAUAUUUUUUCAUAUUCAAUAUGAAAAAAUAUUGAAUAUUCAUGAGGACACUCGAUCUCGAUCCCCUCCAUUUCGAUCGCUAUCACCCCUCGCAAGAUCCCCCUCGCCACCGAGCACCCCCCGCACCCUCCCCCGCUCCACCGCCGUCGCCGUCGGCAUACUUACCACUAGAACACCUAUUCACAAGAUACUAGGCACUUCUCAAAAAAAUACUAGGCACUUCUCAAACCAAGGUGCAACCAGCACAAGAAAACAAUGCAAAAAAAAUACUAGGCACUAGAUGUUGUUGUGAGGCACUAGAUAUUCAUAGGCAUCUAAUUGCAAACAUAAAAAAAAUACUAGACAUCUACUUGAAAACAUAAAAAAAAUACUAGGCACUUCUCAAACCAACGUGCAACCAGCACAAGAAAACAAUGCAUAGAAAAAAAGGAAAAAAAAGAGGGGGGAACACGAUUCGAACCCGCAACCUCCUGCUAGGAGGCAAAACCCACGGACCACUGCGCUGCUACUUCGGAGGUUAACAACAUAGACAAGGCGCACCUCAUAUACAUGCGCCAUUACUACAUAAAAAACAUUCUAAUGGUGCACCGCUCGGGGUGCGCCAUUCCUAAGCCGGGUCGCGCCCUCCUCUCUUCUCCCGCGGCCUCCCCCUACCCCUUUCCACCAAACAGCAGCUCCCCCACCUUCGUCCACGCAGCCCACGGAGCUCUGGCGCGCUAGGGUUUGCUCCGCCUCUGCCUCCGCCGCCGCCGCCGCCUCCGCCUCCGGCACCUAGCCGCCGGCCGUCCCGUCACCGCCUCUGCCUCCGUCACCACCGCCGCCUCCGCCUCCGACACCUAGCCGCCGGCCGUCCCGUCACCGCCUCUGCCCGCCUUGCCGCCCUUUCUCGUCGCCGGACGCCCAUCUUCCCAGAUCCUCGGCACCUGCCUCUCCAUCGCGCCCUCGGCCUGCACGGCGCUCGGCGCGAGCUGCGCCACCGCCCCAGGCCAUGACCCCGCUGCCCUGCCCCGCCGCGUGGCGCCCCUGCAAGUCGGCGGCAGCCACCGACCGCCCAGUCUGCACCCCGACACUUGGCUUAGUCUGAUUUGAGGUACCAUUUUACAAUUCCCCAAUUUUUUUGGUUUAGGGUUAGGCGGUUAGCUUCAUUGCUCGCUGAUUUGUUGUGUUGUGCAUACUCGACUACAGUACAUGAACAUGAACUGGUUAAUUUAGCACAUCAUUUUUGUUCGAUUCUGUCAUUGAUUGAUAAAUGGUAAAUUCAUAUUCAUGAGGUUAUCAGGGUUUCUUGCUUUCGUUGCAGUCCUGCUAAGUCUGUAAUUAAAUAGUCCAAACAAAGUGGCAGGUGAUGCUGCAAGGUUAUAUUUUUUCUGCUGGUUUAGCUUAUAUUGGUUGGCAUGGAUGAGUGUUAAGUCACUAAAUAUUGUUUAUGUUUUGAUCUUUAGUUGGCUAUAUAUAAGUUUCACCUGCUGGCUCAAGUUUACUUUAAUGAUGCAAGUUAAAUAUAUAGCUACAAGCUAAUUUAAACAGCAAACAGUGGCCCAUACUAGUGUCAGCUCCUGUGGUAUCGCACGCUUGCACACUUUCGUGACCUCUUUUUCUCUACUUUUGAAAUGUUAGUUUGCUCAUGUGUAUUAAUCAAGGUGACAAACAGCAUGCUGGAGUAAACUUGUAAGGCACAUACUCUUUUGAUACUUAGGUGCACGUGAACUUGCAAGAGAUGCUCGAGCUACAAGACCCGAUGACCUCAUGAAUUCUGUUGUUGGAGGGCUAGCAAGUGGAGCUGUUCUUGGCCGAAUACAAGGUUGGUCAUUAUACUCCACGGUCAUAUGUUGACUUAUAUUUCUUUUCAUACUUAACAUCUUUCAGUGACUCGCAUUUGCAGUUUUUCUCAAGUCAAAUUUGACUGUAGUGCUCAAUUCCUCCUUGUCCUUAUGAAUUUGAUCUCUACAGUACACCAAGCAAGCUUAUAUAUCUGAAAAACUUAAGUUUAUGAUAUCACACAUACUAGCAGAUGAAGAUGCAUAUUAUAUUACAUUACGCACUGAAGCUCAGGGAAAUGUGCGAUUAUAGUCAGUCAUGUGCGUUCUGGUGGAGCUUGUGCAAAUGCUUAGAAGGUUGGUUCUGUGCCAACUAGCUGCAUCAGAGAUCAGACACGACCGAAAUAAUUUUUUACCACAUGACCUCGUAUAACGGGACUCUCUUGUUUUCACACAAGCACGUGUUUUUUUCAAGUAUAUAAAUGCAUCCAUGUACCAAACAUCACAGGGUGAAUUUAAACGACACCUUAGGGUUAUCUUGUUCUCUAUAACCACAUGUUGUGUGUCAAGGCAACUAUUGAGAAAGUCUGUUUUCUGUAUUUUGUGAGAUGGCAGAUUGCUUAUGAUAGAUACUUUCAAGGUGGGAUCCUCCCUUCCAUUCAAAGUUUAGUUUACUUCGUAAGUAAUGUUUAGUUUACUUCGUAAGCUUGCAAAAACGUCUACAUUGUAAUCCGUAACUCUUAACUUAGUCUCUCCUAGUACUUAUCAAUUUUACAUGUGUUGUCAUACUUAACGCAUGCCUAAUUUUAACACUAAAUCAACUUCAUUAAUUUUCAGGUACAGUACUUGGAUCAGCGGAAGAGGAGCAUCAACACCACGGGCAGAGGAGCAGCAGCCGCUAGUUCUUCAGGUACAAUGGGGGGACAACAGAUAUUGCUAUCUGAAAAAUGAGUUAGCCAGUCAUCUAAGUUGAGCUGAUUUUGAUUUCCGUAUGUUAUGGGGGGACAACAGAUAUUGCUAUAUGUUCAUUCUUGAGGGUACAAACUUGCUAAAAUAUUGAUGAUUUUUUGUUGGGUGACCUAUUUUUGUCCAUAUGAAAGCAGAGGACCAUAUGGUUUGUGUCCUUUUCAUCCAUAUGAAAGUAGAGGCACAUUGUGGUGCUAGUUUGCUGGGUUUUGUUUCUGACCAUCGUGUCGUGAUGAUUUUGCAGGUACCCCGAGAGGCCCUUGAGUUUGCCGGAAUGUCGAUUAAUUUCCGUUCCGGCAAUUUCGGGUACUCCAUAUGUCCUAUUUUCAGCAAAGGUCAUGCUGAAAUUUUCCGUGAAUUUUAGCAUGACUUUGCUAAAAAUAGGACAUAUGGGGUACUUGCGACUAAUGCAUGGGCCGGGGUAUCUUAGUACUUAAUUAAGUAGGAUCAACUGCCCCUUUAUUCUUGCUGCAUUAAACCAUAGGUGGCAAUAGAGCCAAGUGAUUAGGCCCAACUUAGAAUUCUCCUUCCCUUUUCUUGAUAGGGUAUAUUAUUAGAAGAUACCCAUAUAUAUCAGUCAACCUAGCGUGCCUCGGCAUCGAUAAACCCUAAAUGAUGAAAACUUAACUUAGCAUUUAGGGUGCCUCAGCAUCGACAAACCCUAAAUUAUAAAACCUUGGCUUUUAGGGUGCCUCGGUGUCGAUAAAAACCUAAAUGAUGAAAUCUUAGACUUUUAGGGUGCCUCGGCGUCGACAAACCCUAAAUGAUAAAAUCUUAGCUUUUAGGAUGCCUCGGUGUCGACAAACCCUAAAUGAUGAGACCAUGAUCUUGUUCCUUGACAAUAACCAACUUUUUGACCAAACUUUUUUCCUAUUUAGAGCGAAACAUGGCCCACAAUGAUGAGGCCGGCGGUUCGGGCAAGCCAUUCUGGGAGCUGUCCCAGGAGAUGGUGGAAGAACCUCACCGCUAUGAGGACGCCGCGGAAGACACCGAUCCCGAGUACACAACCCCUAGUGGCGUCAGGGAUGACACCACUGAUGGUGUCGCCGAGGAUGCCACCAUUGAUGAUGGCAGCGCACGCGCAGAUGGCAGCCAAUCGAAGAGGCAACGGAAGGACCGGCGCCCGAACGUGCUCAGCACCGUAAAGGAGGAAUUUACUGAAGUGAACUCCGACGGGUAUCCAACGGCGCCCAAAGAAAUAGUCAAGGGGUACGCGGUUCAGCUCGGGUGCAUUCUCCGGAGCACUGUCUCGAUCAACACCGAGAACCUAAGGCAUAAGGACCGAGGGAAUUUGCGCAACCUCCUCUUCACGAAGCUGCACGAACGAUACAAGUUCCCCGGUGACGUCGCAAACACACGCCUCUCAAGGAAUAAAGUGAACAGUGUCGCCCUCACGAAGAUGAGCAAGGCCCUGUCUACUUGGAGAAGCGUGGUGAAUAGAAUGAUUGACAAAGGUGAUAGUUAUGAGAAGAUCAAGGCGAAAAAUCCAUCGAUCAGCGAAGAUGACUACAAGGAGUUCAAGAUCAAGUGCGAGAGCAAGGCAACCGCGGAAUCAAGUCAGUGGGGGAAAGAAAUGCGGGAGUUGAACUUAGGGGUCCACCAACUCGGUCCCGGCGGUUACGGAGUGGCGGAACCUAUAUGGGACAAGGAGGACGCGGAGCGUGCCGAGCAAGGCUACCACCCUGCUUCGAGAAAUACGGUGACAAGCAGACCAGGAACUAUGUCAGGGCUCGGUACAAGGUGGACCCAGUAACAAAGGAGCUUACCACGGAUGCGAAGACCAGGGCGCUUGAGCGUGUUCUAGUAAGGAAUACACCCCACGUAAUUAGCUCCAUAUGGUUGCAUUCUAAUUAAUGAAGCCAAAUAUCUAAAUGGUUCAUUCCUUCCGCAGGACACUGAAAGCAGUAGCGCGGGGUCGUCUCAGAGCUCCCAUUGGGACACCAAUUUAAAUAGGGCGUUUAACAUAAUGAAAAACAAGGAUAAGUCCAGUAAGCCGUCGUCAGCUGGUCGUGUGGCCGGCAAAGGCUUGUCCACGAAAUGGUCGUCAUACUAUAACGCUGGUGGGCGAAAGGAGAGAAAUACCAACUUGGUAAGCCAGUCGCGCGAGGUUGAAGAACUCAAGGCAAAAGUGGCGCGGAUUUCGGAGAUAGUCCAAGAGCUAGUGCAACACCAAGUGGGAGGGGUGAUCACCGCCAUUGUGCCUACCUUGAUUGAGGGGCUGCAGGCGUGGGUUGCGGGCAGCCAACAGGGGCCGCCCCCGAUUCCCAGCUUCACGGCCAGCAACUCGCACAACGCGCAGGCGAUGCCAUUGGUGUCUCCGGCGCCGGCCGGCACCUCGGCAGCAAGCGGCCCCUCCGUCACUUGCACGCCCGCCGUAGGCGGUGCCUCGACAUUAGCCAAGCUCGACGCCAUCACGGUAACUAAGCCUCUCUCGGCCGAUGACUUCAUCUCCUUGCCUUUGACUGGGCAUCCCCUGACGCCCUACAUGUUUUCGCAGGGCGCCGGCGCCGACGUUCCAUGCACUCUCCUGCACUUCAUGGGCGCGAGUUGAUCGAUGUUGCCAAGGGCAGAAUCGUUCAACCGGGCAACCCCAUAUUCCACGGUAAACCAAUGCCACCCACCACGUAUAGGGUUCAACUGGUUCGGGUGCUGCCAGGCUGCGACGACUUGUUACCUCCGUUCCACCCCGCUGGGGCCGACAUAGAUGAUGUGAUGACCCUCAGCGCCUGCUUAAGCUGGCCCUUGCUUUGGCCGAAGAGCCAGAUUCGUUUGGGGGCGGGGGACACCACCCCACAGACAACACCGCCAGUCGUGCCGGCGCCAAGCCAUGGCAAGACCGCCGCAACGCUACCGGACAUGCAUAUGGCACAGGAUCCGGACAUGCAUAUGACACAGGUUCCGGACGACGACGAUGACGACGAUGGUACAUUUACCAAGGUCGAUAAGUACUUUGCCGAACAUGGGUACGGUGAGGAAUUCUUGGGGCCUCCUUCUCAAGAACCCAACCCUGCAAAAGACGACCGCGAUCUAGCUGGUACCGCGGAGAAACCCAAUUGCAACAGGCGUUGUCUGGCGUUUAGUUUUGAGGAGACGCCUCCAGCUGCCGCCUUCACCGAGCCUCAGAUAGCCGAGGUGUGAAAUAUUAUCAGCCCCAACACACUCAAGAAGGUGGUCUCUGAGCAGAUGAACUGGAUCCCAUUACAUCAGCAGAAGAAGGGACGGAAAAGAAAGACUAACAAGGGUGCGAUCCAGCCGGCACUGAGUACGAUCCGUGCUCUGGACGGGCCACCUUCACCUAAGGAUAUCUCGAGGAGGGUGCAUGUGGCGGGUAGGCCGAUGCUACCGACUAAUCUGCUCAAUGCUGCAACCGGUGCUAUGUGGAGUCUGCAUGACAGUGUUCUCUAUUUGGAGAAGCGGCGUCUCUCCGAGAAUAAUGUGGCAUACCCAGUUUUCGUGGCCAAGGUGCCAGAGGGCAAGGGCUUUGUCGAUAGCGCCAUUGGGGGUAUGAUCGUCCUGCGGUUUGCUGACAUCUUUGCUAUGUUUAACCUUCAUCCGCUGCACUACACCUUCGUUCGGCUAUUUUCGCUGAGUAUGGAGAUGCGGAUCAUUAGAGACAAGACCCCGGACCUAGUGAUAGUCGACCCCUUCUAUAUGCGUGCCAAGAUCUUGGGCAACGCUGGGGACCGGCAAGUCGCGAGUUCAUACCUCGAAGGCGUCAUUCUGGCAAACUCAGAAAAGGAUAACUUCCUCGUGCCUUACUUUCCCUGGUAAGUUAUCCCCUCAUCGCCACGUAACAUAUGAUUUCUUAGAUUUUGAUCGUCCUUUGUUGUUCUAACAUUCCGUGUUUUGUGCAGUGACACACGUUGCACACUCAUCCUCUUAAGCCUGAAAUAUUCCACGGCCACGUAUUUCGACUCGGACCGUCAGUCAAAAAAAGACUACACAAAUAUCAAGAAAGUUCUUGAUGAAGCUCUUCCUGGAUACGCCAUAUCUGGAGGCACCUUCAGCAGGACAAGUCUCAGGCACGGCAAGCACGUGUUCACCCACAAUACAACGUUCGCGUGCGUCAAGCAGCCGCCUGGCAGUCAGAAGGAUGCCUACUACGCCCUCCAUCACAUGCGGGCGAUCAUACGGGACAGUAAUCACCUUCGGCUACCAAAUAAUCUCAAAGAUUGGGCCGCACGCUUGUCGGCAAUCCAGGAUGCGGACAUCAGACAAGAAUUCUUUCGCAUCCAGUCGGAGUUUGCGGAAAUCAUCCAUCAAGAUGUCCUUCGUACCUCGGGGCAGUUCUACCUCAGAUCUCCGCUGUCCAAUAGUGAGAUAGAUACAAUGCUACAAAUGGAGGCUGACAACGACCGCAAUUUCAUGACCAUCACGAAAGACGGCAGCUUCAUCCACGUUCCCGUGAAUCGCUACUAAUUCAUGUUGGAAUAUUAAACUUUAAUGAACUGGUAUGUCUCUUUGGUUUGGACAGUCGUUCAACUUAUAUAUAAUCGAUGCUAUUUAUUAGUAGGACCAUGAAUCGUGUUGUUAUAGUUGUAAUAUUAAACUUUAAUGAACUUGUAUGUCUCUGUGAAUUGCUACUAAUGUUUUGUUUGGAUAGUGCAUAGAGAUGUCGUCGUAUGUCGUGUACAAGGGUAAGGUUCCCGGAGUCUACGACGACUGGGAGGAGUGUUGGAGACAGGUUCAUCGAUUCAGCGGUAACAGUUACAAAGGGUACACCACAAGGGCGGAGGCGGAAGUUAGAUACGCGCGCUAUCUAGCGGGAGAGAGGAGGGAGCGUUGGAGGAACCGGAUGAAGACCAGUUUCAUUGCGAUUAUGCUCAUCGUGAUGACCGCAGCUCUCUUCUAUAUGUGAUGGUAGUUUAGAUGGUCGAUAUAUCGACUUGUAAUGUGAAGACAAACUCGCUACUCGCGGUCUCGAGACUUGUAAUGUUCUAACUUUGUUCGGUAUUUUAAAUUCGGAGACUAAUAUGAUGAAUUGUAUUCGGAGACUAAUCUUCUAUUGUAUUCGAUAAAUCUGUUGUUUAUAUGUUGUGCUAUCUAUAUUCUGUGCAAUAAUAUAUUUUGUAAUCUGUGCAAAUAUCAGAAAAAAUAAAAUAAAUACUAAUAUUCAUACUAGUGGCGCAUCACUCAGCACACUAGUGCGCCAUUAGUAAGCCAGAGCAUAUGGGUACAUAUGGCCGUGGGAGGCAUACUAAUGGCGCACCAUAAGCUAUACUAAUGGCGCACCAGGAUAUAUACUAAUGGCGCACCGGGAUCUAUAUUAAUGGCGCACCAGGAUAUAUACUAAUGGCGCACUACCUGGUGCGCCAUUAGUAUACCAGAUACUAAUGGCGCACCAUGAGCAAUACUAAUGGCGCACUACCUGGUGCGCCAUUAGUAUACCAGAUACUAAUGGCGCACUUGUAGUGCGCCAUUGUAAAAAAAUCUAAUGGCGUGAUGCUAGUGGCGCACCUAUAGUGCGCCAUUAGUAGCAAAAAAUGGUGCGCCAUUAGCAAGCCUUUUCCUAGUAGUGAUAUAUAAUCAAAAUAAUAAUCUAGCAUCAUAAAUGUAUUGAAAAUAGAAGUAUAUCAUACUACUACUUACCUGAGCCGCUCUAAAGGUCAGCUUCUCAGGCUCGAUACCGGGAGUCACGCACUUGAACCGCUUCCAAACCCUGUCCGACAAGGAUAAUGAUUUGCUAAGUUUUUCAUUAAUUGAUAUAUCAGAAAAUCAUCGAAAGAGACCGAUAGAGGGCAAGAAUGAUUGAAAUUACCCUUGAAGCAUGUCCUGCAGGCUUUGGAACUGUUCCAAGGGUCUCGAUAAUGGGUCGAAGGCAUCAAUUCUUCCCUUAUCAAUUUGAAUGUCCAACAGAAUCCAAUGGAAGCUGCACAUGUAUAUAUAUAUAUGUGUGUGUGUGUGUGUGUGUGUCAGUAACUUAUCAAUUACACUUAUAAGUGAAUGGACACAACAGAGUAAAGACCCUCACCUGAAGUUGUAUGGAAACAGUAUGUGGUCAUAGAAAUUUUGAUCUGUUAGAAACCUUAGAAGGUUUUCCUCCGUCUCCUUGGGUUUAUCAGUUAGCGUCGCUAUAUGUAUUUUAUCUGGGUCAAUAAACCCAAUAUUUAGGAUGUUCUUACUUUUACAAUCCAGAAUCUUCAUUCUGCAUAAUAGAGUACAAGUUAUAUAUAGACAAUGAAUUGAAAUAACUAAACAAGUUAUAUGUAGACAACGAAUUGAAAAACUUACACACAAUAGCAACUCAUAAGCGAUUUGUCGAGGGCGUCGCCAUUGUACAUCUGGAAGAGUUCAUCAAAGUCGAUAUGGAUUUCUUCGGGGCGGCCAUAGUACUCCCGUGGGACACUCACCACGAUCAUCGUUCUCCCAUUCUUUGAUUCACUUAAGUACCAUGUAUGCAAGUAACGCAUAUUUGUUGGGGGAUCAUCUUUGCUGACCAAAGGUGCUCCCAUGACAAACUGUGGCUUAGGGGCUACCACAGCCUUGGGUAACCUGUCGUCUUGGGAAGCCAGAAUGUCUUUAACCGGGAUACCCCAUUCAUUCGCCCACUUCUUUUAUACUUCCAAAUCUUGCCCCUGCACCAGAGGGGGGACAUUCUCGGGUAACACCCUGAGGGGUGGGAUCGACUGUUUGGCCUGUUGUCCAAGCUGAGGAACGUCUAAUCUUUUUUUGCUUGUAGUUGAACUUGAUUUGUUCCCACUUGCACUUGCACGUGAUCUGCUCUUUUUCACUUCCUUCUGCAAUGUGCGUGUAUCUGUUGGAAAUAUGCCCUAGAGGCAAUAAUAAAUUAGUUAUUAUUAUAUUUCUUAGUUCAUGAUAAUCGUUUAUUAUUCAUGCUAUAAUUGUAUUGAUUGGAAACACAAUACUUGUGUGGAUACAUAGACAAAACACUGUCCCUAGUAAGCCUCUAGUUGACUAGCUCGUUGAUCAAAGAUGGUUAAGGUUUCCUGGCCAUAGGCAAGUGUUGUCACUUGAUAACGGGAUCACAUCAUUAGGAGAAUCAUGUGAUGGACUAGACCCAAACUAAUAGACGUAGCAUGUUGAUCGUGUCAUUUUGUUGCUACUGUUUUCUGCGUGUCAAGUAUUUGUUCCUAUGACCAUGAGAUCAUAUAACUCACGGACACCGGAGGGAUGCUUUGUGUGUAUCAAACGUCGCAACGUAACUGGGUGACUAUAAAGAUGCUCUACAGGUAUCUCCGAAGGUGUUCGUUGAGUUAGUAUGGAUCGAGACUGGGAUUUGUCACUCCGUGUGACGGAGAGGUAUCUCGGGGCCCACUCGGUAAUACAACAUCACACACAAGCCUUGCAAGCAAUGUGACUUAGUGUAAGUUACGGGAUCUUGUAUUACGGAACGAGUAAAGAGACUUGCCGGUAAACGAGAUUGAAAUAGGUAUGCGGAUACUGACGAUCGAAUCUCGGGCAAGUAACAUACCGAAGGACAAAGGGAAUGACAUACGGGAUUAUACGAAUCCUUGGCACUGAGGUUCAAACGAUAAAGAUCUUCGUAGAAUAUGUAGGAUCCAAUAUGGGCAUCCAGGUCCCGCUGUUGGAUAUUGACCGAGGAGUCUCUCGGGUCAUGUCUACAUAGUUCUCGAACCCGCAGGGUCUGCACACUUAAGGUUCGACGUUGUUUUAUGCGUAUUUGAGUUAUAUGGUUGGUUACCGAAUGUUGUUCGGAGUCCCGGAUGAGAUCACGGACGUCACGAGGGUUUCCGGAAUAGUCCGGAAACGAAGAUUGAUAUAUAGGAUGACCUCAUUUGGUUACCGGAAGGUUUUCGUGCAUUACCGGAAAAGUUUCGGGAUCAUCGGUAGUGUACUGGGAGUGCCGGGAGGGGUGUCGGGGACCAUCGGGAGGGGUGUCACGCCCCAAGGGGUCUCAUGGGCUAUGGGAAGAGAUAAACCAGCCCCUAGUGGGCUGGAAUAAGUUCCCACUAAGGCCCAUAAGGUUUGAGAAGGAAAAAACACAAGGUGGAAAGAGUUUCCAAGUGGGAAGGUGGAAUCCUACUCCAAGUAGGAUUGGAGUAGGACUCCUCCACCUCCAAUUUCGGCCAAACCUUUAGGUUUUGAGGCUGCCUCCUCCCCUCCCUCCCACCUAUAUAUACGGAGGUUUUAGGGCUGAUUUGAGACGACUUUUCCACGGCAGCCCGACCACAUACCUCCACGGUUUUUCCUCUAGAUCGCGUUUCUGCGGAGCUCGGGCGGAGCCCUGCUGAGACAAGGUCAUCACCAACCUCCGGAGCGCCGUCACGCUGCCGGAGAACUCUUCUACCUCUCCGUCUCUCUUGCUGGAUCAAGAAGGCCGAGAUCAUCGUCGAGCUGUACGUGUGCUGAACGCGGAGGUGCCGUCCGUUCGGUACUAGAUCGUGGGACUGAUCGCGGGAUUGUUCGCGGGGCGGAUCGAGGGACGUGAGGACGUUCCACUACAUCAACCGCGUUCACUAACGCUUCUGCUGUACGAUCUACAAGGGUACGUAGAUCACUCAUCCCCUCUCGUAGAUGGACAUCACCAUGAUAGGUCUUCGUGCGCGUAGGAAAAAUUUUGUUUCCCAUGCGACGUUCCCCAACAGUGGCAUCAUGAGCUAGGUUCAUGCGUAGAUGUCUUCUCGAGUAGAACACAAAAGGUUUUGUGGGCGGUGAUGUGCGUUUUGCUGCCCUCCUUAGUCUUUUCUUGAUUCCGCGGUAUUGUUGGAUUGAAGCGGCUUGGACCGACAUUACUCGUACGCUUACGAGAGACUGGUUUCAUCGUUACGAGUAACCCCCUUUGCUCAAAGAUGACUGGCAAGUGUCGGUUUCUCCAACUUUAGUUGAAUCGGAUUUGACCGAGGAGGUCCUUGGAUGAGGUUAAAUAGCAACUCAUAUAUCUCCGUUGUGGUGUUUGCGUAAGUAAGAUGCGAUCCUACUAGAUACCCUUGGUCACCACGUAAAACAUGCAACAACAAAAUUAGAGGACGUCUAACUUGUUUUUGCAGGGUAUGAUUGUGAUGUGAUAUGGCCAACGAUGUGAUGUGAUAUAUUGGAUGUAUGAGAUGAUCAUGUUGUAAUAGAAAUAUCGACUUGCACGUCGAUGGUACGGCAACCGGCAGGAGCCAUAGGGUUGUCUUUAUACUAAUGUUUGUGCUUGCGGAUGCAUUUACUAUUUUGCUAGGAUGUAGCUUUAGUAGUAAUAGCAUAAGUAGCACGACAACCCCGAUGGCAAUAUGUUGAUGGAUGAUCAUGGUGUGGCGCCGGUGACAAGAAGAUCGUGCCGGUGCUUUGGUGAUGGAGAUCAAGAAGCACGUGAUGAUGGCCAUAUCAUGUCACUUAUGAAUUGCAUGUGAUGUUAAUCCUUUUAUGCACCUUAUUUUGCUUAGAACGACGGUAGCAUUACGAGGUGAUCUCUCACUAAAAUUUCAAGACGAAAUUGUGUUCUCCCCUACUGUGCACCGUUGCUACAGUUCGUCGUUUCGAGACACCACGUGAUGAUCGGGUGUGAUAGACUCAACGUUCACAUACAACGGGUGCAAAACAGUUGCGCACGCGGAACACUCGGGUUAAGCUUGACGAGCCUAGCAUGUGCAGACAUGGCCUCGGAACACAUGAGACCGAAAGGUCGAUCAUGAAUCAUAUAGUUGAUAUGAUUAGCAUAGGGAUGCUUACCACUGAAACUAUACUCAACUCACGUGAUGAUCGGACUUAGGAUAGUGUAAGUGGAUCAUGAACCACUCAAAUGACUAGAGAGAUGUACUUUUUGAGUGGGAGUUUAGCAUAUAAUUUGAUUAAGUUGAACUCUAAUUAUAUUGAACAUAGUCUAAGUCCACUUUGAAUAUAUUUGUAUUGUAGAUCAUGGCUCACACGACAGUCAUCCUGAAUUUUAAUACGUUCCUAGAGAAAGCUAAGUUGAAAGAUGAUGGAAGCAACUUUGUAGACUGGGCUCGUAAUCUUAAGCUAAUCUUACAAGCUGGGAAGAAGGAUUAUGUCCUUAAUGCUGCGCUAGGAGAUGAACCACCCGCUACGGCUGAUCAGGAUGUUAAGAACGCUUGGUUAGCACGUAAGGAGGACUACUCAAUAGUUCAAUGUGCAGUCUUGUAUGGCUUAGAACCGGGACUUCAACGUCGCUUUGAGCGUCAUGGAGCAUUUGAGAUGUUCCAGGAGUUGGAGUUUAUCUUUCAGAAGAAAACCCGGAUCGAGAGGUAUGAGACCUCCGAUAAAUUCUAUGCUUGCAAGAUGGAGGAAAACUCGUCUGUCAGUGAACAUGUGCUCAAAAUGUCUGGGUACUCAAACCGUCUAGCUGAGCUGGGGAUUGAACUCCCGCAAGAAGCUAUCACUGACAGAAUCCUUCAAUCACUGCCGCCAAGCUAUAAAGGCUUUGUGUUGAACUACAACAUGCAAGGGAUGAACAAGUCUCCCGGCGAGUUGUUUGCGAUGCUGAAAGUCGCAGAGUCUGAACUCCGUAAAGAGCAUCAAGUGUUGAUGGUGAGCAAGACCACUAGUUUCAAGAGAAACGACAAAGGCAAGAAGGGCAAUUCGAAGAAGAGCGGCAAGCCUGUUGCCAAUCCGCCGAAGAAACCCAAGGCUGGACCUAAGCCUGAAACAGAGUGCUUCUAUUGCAAGGGUAUGGGUCACUGGAAGCGCAAUUGCCCCAAGUAUCUGGCAGAUAAGAAGGCGGGCAAAGAAAAAUCAGGUAUAUUUGAUAUACAUGUUAUUGAUGUGUACUUAACCGGCUCUCGUAGUAGUGCCUGGGUAUUCGAUACCGGUUCUGUUGCUCACAUAUGCAACUCGAAGCAGGAACUGCGGAAUAGACGAAGGCUGGCGAAAGACGAAGUGACGAUGCGCGUAGGAAAUGGUUCCAAGGUUGAUGCAAUCGCCGUCGGCACAGUGUCACUUCAGCUACCAUCGGGAUUAGUGAUGAACUUAAAUCAUUGUUAUUUAGUGCCUGCGUUGAGCAUGAACAUUAUAUCUGGAUCUUGUUUAUUGCGAGACGGUUACUCUUUUAAGUCUGAGAAUAAUGGUUGUUCUAUUUCUAUGAGUAACAUCUUUUAUGGUCAUGCACCGAAUGUGAGAGGAUUGUUCAUAUUGAAUCUUGAUAGCGAUAUGCAUAUACAUAACAUUAAGACCAAAAGAGUUAGAGUAAACAAUGAUAGCGCCAUAUUUUUGUGGCACUGCCGCUUGGGUCAUAUUGGUGUAAAGCGCAUGAAGAAACUCCAUGCUGAUGGACUUUUGGAGUCACUUGACUUUGAUUCACUUGACACGUGCGAACCAUGCCUCAUGGGCAAGAUGACUAAGACUCCGUUCUCCAGAACAAUGGAGCGUGCAAGUGACUUGUUGGAAAUCAUACAUACCGAUGUGUGUGGUCCAAUGAGCGUAGAGGCACGCGGCGGAUAUCGUUAUUUUCUCACCUUCACUGACGAUUUAAGUAGAUAUGGUUAUGUCUACUUGAUGAAGCACAAGUCUGAAACAUUUGAAAAGUUCAAGCAAUUUCAGAGUGAAGUGGAAAAUCAUCCUAACAAGAAGAUCAAGUUCCUACGGUCUGAUCGUGGGGGUGAAUAUCUGAGUUUCGAGUUUGGUGCUCACUUAACACAAUGUGGAAUUGUUUCGCAGUAAACACCGCCUGGAACACCACAGCGUAAUGGUGUGUCCGAACGUCGUAAUCGUACUUUGUUAGAGAUGGUGCGAUCUAUGAUGUCUCUUACUGAUUUGCCGUUAUCAUUUCGGGGUUAUGCAUUAGAAACAGCUGCAUUCACUUUAAAUAGGGCACCAUCAAAAUCCGUUGAGACGACACCAUACGAACUGUGGUAUGGCAAAAGGCCAAAGUUGUCGUUUCUUAAAGUUUGGGGAUGUGAUGCUUAUGUCAAAAAGCUUCAGCCUGAAAAGCUGGAACCCAAAGCGGAAAAGUGCGUCUUCAUAGGUUACCCAAAAGAGACAGUUGGGUACACCUUCUAUCUCAAAUCCGAGGGCAAAGUGUUUGUUGCUAAAAACGGAGCUUUUCUCGAGAAGGAGUUUCUCUCGAGAGAAUUGAGUGGGAGGAAGAUAGAACUUGACGAGGUUGUCGAACCUCUCAUCCCUCUGGAUGGUGGCGCAGGGCAAGGGGAAACCUCUGUCGUUGCGACGCCGGUUGAGGAGGAAGUUAAUGAUGAUGAUCAUGAAACUCCAGUUCAAGUUUCUGUUGAACCACGCAGGUCGACGAGAUCACGCGCUGCUCCAGAGUGGUACGGUAAUCCCGUCUUAUCAAUCAUGUUGUUAGACAACAAUGAACCUGCAAAUUAUGAAGAAGCAAUGGUGGGCCCAGAUUCCAACAAAUGGCUAGAAGCCAUGAAAUCUGAGAUAGGAUCCAUGUAUGAGAACAAAGUGUGGACUUUGGAGAUACUACCUGAGGGCCGCAAGGCUAUUCAGAACAAAUGGAUCUUUAAGAAGAAGACGGACGCUGACGGUAAUGUGACCGUUUAUAAAGCUCGACUUGUGGCAAAGGGUUUUUCACAAGUUCCAGGAGUUGACUACGAUGAGACUUUCUCACCCGUAGCGAUGCUUAAGUCCGUCAGAAUCAUGUUAGCAAUAGCUGCAUUUUUCGAUUAUGAAAUCUGGCAGAUGGAUGUCAAAACGGCGUUCCUUAACGGUUUCCUUAAGGAAGGGUUGUAUAUGAUGCAACCCGAAGGUUUUGUCAAUCCUAAAAAUGCUGACAAGGUGUGCAAGCUCCAGCGAUCCAUUUAUGGACUGGUGCAAGCAUCUCGGAGUUGGAACAAACGCUUUGAUGAGGUGAUCAAAGCAUUUGGGUUUAUACAAGUGGUUGGAGAAUCUUGUAUUUACAAGAAAGUGAGUGGGAGCUCUGUGGCGUUUCUAAUAUUAUAUGUGGAUGACAUAUUAGUGAUUGGAAACAACGUAGAGCUUUUGGAGAGCAUAAAAGGUUACUUGAAUAAAAGUUUCUCUAUGAAGGACCUAGGAGAAGCUGCUUACAUUCUAGGCAUUAAGAUCUAUAGGGAUAGAUCAAAACGCCUCAUAGGACUUUCACAAAGCACAUACCUUGAUAAAGUUUUGAAGAGGUUCAAAAUGGAACAGUCCAAGAAAGGGUUCUUGCCAGUUUUACAAGGUACGAGAUUGAGUAAGACUCAGUGCCCAGCAACUGAUGAAGAUAGAGAGCAUAUGCGCUCCGUCCCCUAUGCUUCAGCCAUAGGUUCUAUCAUGUAUGCGAUGUUGUGCACUAGACCGGAUGUUAGCCUGGCCAUAAGUAUGGCAGGUAGGUUCCAGAGUAAUCCAGGAGUGGAUCACUGGACAACGGUCAAGAAUAUCCUGAAGUACCUGAAAAGGACUAAGGAGAUGUUUCUCGUGUAUGGAGGUGACGAAGAGCUCGCUGUAAAAGGUUACGUCGAUGCAAGCUUUGACACAGAUCCGGACGACUCUAAGUCGCAAACCGGAUACGUAUUUAUUCUUAAUGGGGGUGCAGUAAGCUGGUGCAGUUCCAAGCAAAGCGUCGUAGCAGAUUCUACAUGUGAAGCGGAGUACAUGGCUGCCUCGGAGGCGGCUAAGGAGGGUGUCUGGAUGAAGCAGUUCAUGACGGAUCUUGGAGUGGUGCCAAGCGCACUGAAUCCAAUAACCUUGUUCUGUGACAACACUGGUGCCAUUGCCUUAGCAAAGGAACCACGGUUUCACAAGAAAACCAGACACAUCAAACGACGCUUCAACCUCAUCCGCGACUACGUCGAGGAAGAGGACGUAAAUAUAUGCAAAGUGCACACGGAUCUGAAUGUAGCAGACCCGCUGACUAAACCUCUUCCACGGCCAAAACAUGAUCGACACCAGAACUGUAUGGGUGUUAGAUUUAUUACAAUGUAAUUCACAUGGUGAUGUGAGGGCUAGAUUAUUGACUCUAGUGCAAGUGGGAGACUGUUGGAAUUAUGCCCUAGAGGCAAUAAUAAAUAUAUAGUUAUUAUUAUAAUUCCUGUAUCAAGAUAAUAGUUUAUUAUCCAUGCUAUAAUUGUAUUGAAUGAAGACUCAUCUACAUGUGUGGAUACAUAGACAAAACACCGUCCCUAGCAUGCCUCUAGUUGGCUAGCCAGUUGAUCGAUGAUAGUCAGUGUCUUCUGAUUAUGAACAAGGUGUUGUUGCUUGAUAACUGGAUCACGUCAUUGGGAGAAUCACGUGAUGGACUAGACCCAAACUAAUAGACGUAGCAUGUUGAUCGUGUCAUUUUGUUGAUACUGUUUUCUGCGUGUCAAGUAUUUAUUCCUAUGACCAUGAGAUCAUAUAACUCACUGACACCGGAGGAAUGCUUUGUGUGUAUCAAACGUCGCAACGUAACUGGGUGACUAUAAAGAUGCUCUACAGGUAUCUCCGAAGGUGUUAGUUGAGUUAGUAUGGAUCAAGACUGGGAUUUGUCACUCCGUGUGACGGAGAGGUAUCUCGGGGCCCACUCGGUAAUACAACAUCACACACAAGUCUUGCAAGCAAUGUAACUUAGUGUAAGUUGCGGGAUCUUGUAUUACGGAACGAGUAAAGAGACUUGCCGGUAAACGAGAUUGAAAUAGGUAUGCGGAUACUGACGAUCGAAUCUCGAGCAAGUAACAUACCGAAGGACAAAGGGAAUGACAUACGGGAUUAUACGAAUCCUUGGCACUGAGGUUCAAAUGAUAAGAUCUUCGUAGAAUAUGUAGGAUCCAAUAUGGGCAUCCAGGUCCCGCUAUUGGAUAUUGACCGAGGAGUCUCUCGGGUCAUGUCUACAUAGUUCUCGAACCCGCAGGGUCUGCACACUUAAGGUUCGACGUUGUUUUAUGCGUAUUUGAGUUAUAUGGUUGGUUACCGAAUGUUGUUCGGAGUCCCAGAUGAGAUCUCGGACGUCACGAGGGUUUCCGGAAUGGUCCGGAAACGAAGAUUGAUAUAUAGGAUGACCUCAUUUGAUUACCGGAAGGUUUUCGGAGUUACCGGAAAUGUACCGGGAAUGACGAAUGGGUUCCGGGAGUUCACCGGGGGGGCAACCCACCCCGGGGAAGCCCAUAGGCCUUGGGGGAGACACACCAGCCCUUAGUGGGCUGGUGGGACAGCCCACAAGUGCCCUAUGCGCCAAGGAGAAGAAAAUCAAGAGAGAGAAAAAAAGGAGGAGGUGGGAAGGAAGGGGGACUCCCUCCCACCAAACCUAGUCCAACUCGGUUUGGGGGGGGAGAGUCCUCCCCCUUGGAUCGGCCGACCCCCUUGAGGGUCCUUGGACCCCAAGGCAAGGCCCCCUCCCUCCCACCUAUAUAUACGGAGGUUUUAGGGCUGAUUUGAUACGACUUUUCCACGGCAGCCCGACCACAUACCUCCACGGUUUUUCCUCUAGAUCGCGUUUCUGCGGAGCUCGGGCGGAGCCCUGCUGAGACAAGGUCAUCACCAACCUCCGGAGCGCCGUCACGCUGCCGGAGAACUCUUCUACCUCUCCGUCUCUCUUGCUGGAUCAAGAAGGCCGAGAUCAUCGUCGAGUUGUAUGUGUGUUGAACGCGGAGGUGCCGUCCGUUCGGUACUAGAUCGUGGGACUGAUCGCGGGAUUGUUCGCGGGGCGGAUCGAGGGACGUGAGGACGUUCCACUACAUCAACCGCGUUCUCUAACGCUUCUGCUGUACGGUCUACAAGGGUAUGUAGAUCACUCAUCCCCUCUCGUAGAUGGACAUCACCAUGAUAGGUCUUCGUGCACGUAGGAAAUUUUUUGUUUCCCAUGCGACGUUCCCCAACAAGAUUUUUAUAGUGUGCUGAAAUUUAUUGUCACUUGUCACUAUGGAAACUGUUCCUUUGAGGAGUUUGUUCGAGGUAUCUUCACCACGAACGGAAGCACGAGGAGUUGUUCCUCAUCCUGAGGUACCUACUGACUUUUGUGAAAAGAUUGUCGAGGUUUUCAUGGAUGACUUCUCCGUUUACGGGUCUUCCUUUGACGAUUGCCUCAGCAACCUUGAUCGAGUCUUACACAGAUGCAAAGAUACCAACCUCGUCUUGAAUUGGGAGAAGUGCCACUUUAUGGUUAAUGAAGGCAUCGUCUUAGGACACAAAAUUUCUGAGAGAGGCAUUGAAGUUGAUAAGGCUAAGGUUGAUGCAAUUGAGAAAAUGCCUUGCCCCACAGAUAUCAGAGGUAUACAAAGUUUCCUAGGUCAUGUUGGUUUUUAUAGAAGGUUCAUUAAAGACUGUUCUAAGAUUUCUAGGCCUCUUACCAACCUCUUGCAGAAGGAUGUUCCUUUUGUUUUUGAUCAGGAUUGUGAGGAAGCCUUUGAAAUACUUAAGAAGGCUUUGAUAACCGCACCUAUUGUUCAACCACCUGACUGGAACUUGCCCUUUGAAAUCAUGUGCGAUGCUAGUGAUUAUGUUGUUGGUGCUGUUCUAGGACAGAGAGUUGACAAGAAGUUGAAUGUUAUUCACUAUGCUAGUAAAACUCUAGACAGUGCCCAAAGAAACUAUGCCACUACGGAAAAGGAAUUUUUAGCAGUCGUGUUUGCAUGUGAAAAGUUCAGAUCUUAUAUAGUUGACUCCAAAGUCACUAUUCAUUCUGAUCAUGCUGCUAUUAAGUACCUUAUGAAGAAGAAGGACGCUAAGCCUAGGCUGAUCAGAUGGGUUCUCCUGCUACAGGAAUUUGAUUUGCACGUCGUUGACCGAAAGGGUGCUGAUAACCCUGUAGCAGAUAACUUGUCUAGGCUAGAGAAUGUCCUUGAUGACCCACUACCUAUUGAUGACAGCUUUCUUGAUGAGCAAUUAAAUGUCAUCCGCACUUCACAUAGUGCACCGUGGUAUGCUGAUUAUGCAAAUUAUAUCGUAGCCAAAUACAUACCACCCAGUUUCACCUAUCAGCAAAAGAAGAAAUUCUUCUUUGAUUUGAGACACUACUUUUGGGAUGAUCCUCACCUUUAUAAGGAAGGAGUAGAUGGUGUUAUUAGACGUUGUGUGCCUGAACAUGAACAGGGACAGAUCUUGCAGAAGUGUCAUUCCGAAGCCUACGGAGGACACCACGCUAGAGAUAGAACUGCCCAUAAGGUAUUGUAAUCAGGUUUCUAUUGGCCCACUCUCUUCAAGGAUGCCUGUAAGUUUGUCUUGUCUUGUGACGAAUGCCAAAGAAUAGGGAAUAUCAGUAAGCGUCAGGAAAUGUGUAUGAACUAUUCACUUGUCAUUGAACCAUUUGAUGUCUGGGGCUUUGAUUAUAUGGGACCCUUCCUGAGUUCCAAUGGGUACACUCACAUCUUAGUUGCUGUGGAUUACGUCACUAAGUGGGUAGAAGCUAUCCCCACUAAAAAUGCUGAUCACCACACCUCUAUUAAUAUGCUUAAAGAAGUCAUUUUCCCAAGAUUUGGAGUCCCUAGAUAUCUGAUGACUGAUGGCGGUUCACACUUCAUUCAUGGUGUUUUCCGCAAGAUGCUCGCUAAGUAUGAUGUCAAGCAUAGAGUUGCAUCUCCUUGUCAUCCUCAGUCUAGUGGUCAAGUGGAGUUGAGUAAUAGGGAGAUCAAGUUCAUCCUACAAAAGACCGCCAAUAGAUCUCGAAAGAACUGGUCUAGCAAACUUGACGAUGCACUAUGGGCUUAUAGGACUGCUUAUAAGAAUCCCAUGGGCAUGUCACCGUAUAAAAUGGUUUACGGUAAGGCCUGUCAUUUACCUCUUGAGCUGGAACACAAAGCUUAUUGGGCAAUCAAAGAGCUCAACUUCGAUUUCAAACUUUCCAGUGAGAAGCGGUUGUUUGAUAUCAGCUCGUUAGAUGAAUGGAGAGCCCAGGCAUAUGAGAAUGCCAAGUUGUUCAAGUAAAAGGUUAAGAGAUGGCACGACAAACGAAUACAAAAACGAGAGUUCAAUGUAGGUGAUUAUGUCUUGCUAUACAAUUCUCGUUUGAGAUUCUUUGCACGCAAGCUUCUCUCUAAAUGGGAAGGUCCUUACGUUAUCGAGGAAAUAUAUCGUUCCGGUGCCAUCAAAAUCAAUAACACGGAAGGAAAAUUUCCUAGAGUGGUAAAUGGGCAAAGAAUCAAGCAUUACAUCUCUCGUACUCCCAUAAAUGUUGAGACCAAUAUCAUCAAUGUCAUAACUCCAGAGGAGUACAUAAGGGAUGUUUAUCAGCCUACUUCAGACCCUGAAAACGAAAAAGUAUCUGUUUCGGUGAGAAAUUGGACUCCGACGCUUUCCCAAUAGGAAAUUUCCUCCGUUUUGGAAUUUUCGGAAAAUUUGAAAAAUAAAAAGCAGUCCUGAGAGCGCACGAGGCGGCCACAAGCUUGGACACUGCCCCCUACCCCUGGUGGCGGAGGGCAAGCUUGUGGGCACCUCGUGUGCCUCCCGGACUCCAUUUUCUUGCGGAGCACUCCUUCUGGUCCAGAAAAAAUCAAUAUAUAUUCGCCCGAAGGUUUUGAUCUCCGUAUCGCGCAGUUUUCCUAUGUUUUCGUUUCGAGCUGGUUGUCUGCUGCAGAUUUAGAGCAAAGAUGUCUCAGGAAUCUGUUGGGGAGAAUGAUCUUCACCAAGUUCAUGAGGAAGUAGAUGCUUAUCUAAAAAGAGUAGAAGUCACGAAAGCUAGGGACCAAGCUAAGGAGAAAACCCAAGCUAGGGAGGAAGUUCAACCUAUGUUCAACAUUGAAGACGUUGAAGGAGUGGAUUUUCUCCAACCCUUCCUCCACGUGUUGUCUCCAUCCUUGAUUGAACUCUUGAGGUUUUGCGAAACAACUCGUGCUUGCAAUAUUUCCCUUUCUCGUGAAGUUGUUUUGCUGGAAAACCAUGUCACUGAUCUCAAAGGUAUAAAUCAAAGAUUGAUAGCUCUCUUGGAAUCAAAGGCGACAACUCCACCACCAUCACCACCGAAGGAAGACAACUAAGCAUUGGUAUGGGCAAUCCCCUUGGCUUCUGCCAAGCUUGGGGGAGUUGCCCUGGUAUCAUAUCACCUUUAUAUCUUUUGCUUUUACCUUUGUUUUAGUUCUUUCCUUUUCAGUUUUUAUUUCUUCUCUUAGAGGAAUAAGUCUUUAGUGUUUAGUUUGAGUCUUUUGCUUUUGUCUCUCCCCCGAUGUAUUCAAGCUUACGAGCUAUAUAAUAAAGAGUAUCUUAGUCAAGGGCUUUGCUUUGUGCCAUGAUCAAUAGUAUGAAAAGAACGAUAGCAUGAAAGAUCAUGAGACGAUCUUUUGGAAAGUGAUAACUUCACAUAUGACACGUAUGAUGAUUGAAACUUGUUGAGAAUAAACUUGUUGGUUAGUGAUUGUUGCAAUUAAUAAGAAGUAAUAAGGAAAGAGAGGUUCACAUAUAAAUAUAUCAUCUUAGACACUUUUUACAAUUGUGAGCACUCACCAAACUAUUACAUGCUUAGGAGUAGAUGUUGGACAAGGAAGACAACAUAAUGAAUUGUGUUUGCUUGGUUCCAAACAAUGUUAUAUGAUUAGAGAUCCCUUAGCAUGUGACGAUUGCUUCCACCUCAUAUUAGCCAAAACUCUCGCACCAAGUAGAGAUACUACUUGUGCAUCCAUAAACCUUCAACCCAGUUUUGCCAUGAGAGUCCACCAUACCUACCUAUGGAUUGAAUAAGAUCCUUCAAGUAAGUUGUCAUCGGUGCAAGCAAUAAAAAUUGUUCUCUAAUAUGUAUGAUCUAUUAGUGUGUGGAAAAUAAGCUUUGUACGAACGUGUGAUGAGGAAGACAUAAAAGUGACGGACUGCAUAAUAAAGUUCUUUAUCAUAGGAGGCAAUAUAAAGUGACGUUCCUCCGCACUAAGAGGACACAUAUUCAAACCUCAAAAGCGCAUGACAACCUCUGCUUCCCUCUGCGAAGGGCCUAUCUUGUACCUUUACUUUUUGCCCUUGUAAGAGUCAUGGUGAUCUUCACCAAUUCCCUAUUUUGCCUUUGUCUUGGCUACCGUCACAUGCUUGGGAAAGAUCUAUAUUCAUAUAUCAACUUGGAGUUGAGUACUUAUGCUUUAUUAUUUUUGACUUUGCCCUUGAGGUAAAUCGUUGGGAGGCAAAACUAUAAGCCCCUAUCUUCCUCCGUGUCCAGCUGAAACUUUGACACCAUGAGUACCACGUGAGUUGUAACAAUUGUGGAAAACAAAAGAGAUGAUUGAGUAUGUGGAUUUACCUUACAAGCUCUUAUUUGACUCUUUCUGAUGUUGUGAUAAAUUGCAAUUGCUUCAAUGACUUUGGACUAUUGUUGGUUACUUCUCGGUAAGGUUUUUGCUUCAUGCUUUGCUUUGUGAAGGAAUUGUUACUUUCCCAUAAGAAUCUUUAUGAUGUAUUGCUGUCCUAUGUGUGAUCAUAUGAUGCCCUCAUGUCCGUAUUAUGUUUUUUCGACACCUUCGUCCCUCAACAUGUGGACAUGUUUAUGGAACUUGAUUUUCGCUUGAGGACAAGCGAGGUCUAAGCUUGGGGGAGUUGAUACGUCCAUUUUGCAUCAUGCUUUCAUGUUGAUAUUUAUUGCUUUAUGGGAUGUUUUAUUACUUUGUGGUACCAUAUUUAUGCCUUUUCUCUCUUAUUUUGUAAGGUUUAUUCGAAGAGGGAGAAUUCACGCAGCUGGAAUUCUGGACUGGAAAAGGAGCAAAUCUUAGUCCACUAUUCUGCACAUCUCCAAAUGCCCUGAAAAGUUACGUGGAUUUUUUUGGGAUUAUAUAAAAAAUACUGGGCGAAAGAAGUAUCGGAGGGGGGCUGCCAGGGCACCACAAGCCCUGCCACCGCCACCCCCUGGUGGCGGAGGGCAAGCUUGUGGGCUCCCUGACGGCCCACUAGCUCCCCUCUUUUGCUAUAUGAAGGGUUUCAUUCCAGAAAAAAUCAAUCGGGAGCUUUUUCGUGGUUUCGCCGCCGCCACGAGGCGGAACUUGAGCAGAUCCAAUCUAGAGCUCCGGCAGGACGAUCCUGCCGGGGAAACUUCCCUCCCGGAGGGGGAAAUCGUCGCAAUCGUCAUCACCAACACUCCUCUCGUUGGAGGGGAGGCAUCUUCAUCAACAUCUUCAUCAGCACCAUCUCCUCUCCAAUCCCUAGUUCAUCUCUUGUAAUCAAUCUCCGUCUCACGACUCCGAUUGGUACUUGUAAGGUUGCUAGUAGUGUUGAUUACUCCUUGUAGUUGAUGCUAGUUGGAUUACUUGGUGGAAGAGUUUAUGUUCAGAUCCUUGAUGCUAUUCAUUACACCUCUGAUCAUGAUUAUGAUUAUGCUUUGUGAGUAGUUACUUUUGUUCCUGAGGACAUGGGAUAAGUCAUGCUGAUAAUAGUCAUGUGAAUUUGAUAUUCGUUUGGUAUUUUGAUAUGUUGUAUGUUGUUUUUCCUCUAGUGGUGUUAUGUGAACGUCGACUACAUAACACUUCACCAUACUUGGGCCUAGAGGAAGGCAUUGGGGAGUAGUAAGUAGAUGAUGGGUUGCUGGAGUGACAGAAGGUUAAACCCCAGUCUAUGCGUUGCUUCGUAAGGGGCUGAUUUGGAUCCACUAGUUUAAUGCUAUGGUUAGACGUUGUCUUAAUUCUUCUUUUGUAGUUGCGGAUGCUUGCAAGAGAGGUUAACCAUAAGUGGGAUGCUUGUCCAAGUAAGGGCAGUACCCAAGCGCCGGUCCACCCACAUAUCAAACUAUCAAAGUAACGAACGUGAAUCAUAUGAACAUGAUGAAAUUAGCAUGACAGAAAUUCCCGUGUGUCCUCGGAAGCGUUUUUCCUCCUAUAAGACUUUAUUCAGGCUUGUCCCUUGCUACAAAAGGGAUUGGGCCACUUGCUGCACCGUUGCUACUACUUGUUACUUUUUGCUUGCUACGUUUCACCUCGCUACACAAUCACUUGUUACCACUACUUUCAGUGCUUGAAGUUAUUGCCUUGCUGAAUUCCGUUUAUGAGAGCCUUCUGCUCCUCAUUGGGUUCGACACUCUUACUUAUCGAAAGGACUACGCUUGAUCCCCUAUACUUGUGGAUCAUCACAGUCCCGCUACAAGCAAGGCCACCCUCAGAAAUGGAUUUCAUCGCGGAUCACCCGUUCCUCUUCCUUAUCCGGGAAGACACUUCUCGUGUCGUGCUAUUUAUCGGUCAUGUGGUCAAUCCCCUCCUAACUUCGUAAAAAAAUCUCUGAAUUUGUCUCUUGUCAUUUGCCUCAGUUGUUACAUGUAAGGGGAGGGUUUCGACAGUCAAUCAUGUUAACCAUGCAAUAAAUCCAAUAAAUGUUCUAUGUUUUUUUUAUGAAUUCUACACUAGUAUGUUGCCAUAUUAUUCUUAUGGGCAUUUUCUGUGUCGACUCGACCACUUUGACCCAAAAUACUAGCUAUGCCACCACCUAUGAGCUAGAGAGGUAGAGGGGUGGCAACACACUGAUUUUGACUUCAUUUUUGAAAGGAAUAGAAAAACACAAUUAAUUCAAAGUCAAUUGACAUGAAAUUGUAACUAAAGAUUCUUGUCAAACUUUGCGAAAAAAGAGGUCCAAAUGGAUGGUAAAGUUCCUUUUUCUUUAAAAAAGUGAGAUCAGAGGAAAUUCCCUCCACUACUUUUUAUUUGCUCAAUUCAAUGAACCAAGUAUAUUUUUUUUAGAAAAGGAGGAUGACCCCUGGCCUCUUCAUCUGGGAGAUGCAUGCGGCCAUUUUAUUGAUUAUUCUCGAGGAGCUUACAAAGUAUUACAACAAUAUGUCUGAAUCCGCCAUCUUCGCAACAUCUGUCGCUACUUCUAUCCAUAUGAUGAAGGGGUGCUAGUUGGGCCACAUACCCAGACCACUUACCUAAGCCUAACAUCAAAAGUCGAAAGCCCCAGCAGAGCCGGUCAAGCCAUCUGCCACAUACCGGGUCUAGGGCACAAAACCGAUCUGACGCACUCGUGUGCUGUCGCCGCCAUCUUCCACCGGUCCGUCUUGAGAGCAAAUAUUGAUGCUUCUACCUUGUGUAGCCACUCCGCCAUCGACGUCACCAUGAUGCCAGACAACUACCUCCUCCUGCAUGAGUCCAUCUCCACGCAUCGAACGCCGAGUCCCCACAGCGCCACGCCGCCGAUAUCCGCCGCCAUCAAUGUGUGAGAUGAAGCACCGCUCCAUCAUUCCUCCAGUCAGCACUUGCUCCAAAACGAUGCCCCCAGGAGGGAAGGCGAUAAAACACCAUCAUCGUCCGAUCCAGGAAGACCCAGAUCUAGGGUUUCCCCCGGAGCAUCCCGAGCCUGAUGACGCAAACAGCAACGCCGUUGCUCCACCAGACGAGCGCCGCCGAUGUCACAGCCUCCAAGAUGAAGCUGGCCAAAAUGCGCCGACAUCGAACCGCCGCCACCUCCACCACCGCUUGAGCAGCCCCCGAGCAACGCCUUCAAGAAGGAACACGCCACCGCGGUGUCGUCGUCGCUUGGAACAAGGGGAUCUGAGGUUUUCACCUGAGCUCCUGGGAGGGGUGGAAGGAAGGGGAUCCUCUCCGAAGCCUCCAACAAGGGGAACAACACCCAAAGGCGCUGCCUUCGGAGUGGCCGCCGCACCGGCCAAGGGACUCCCCCGGAACCCUUCCAACCACCGGAUCUGCAAGGCCACCACCCAAGAACAGCGAGAAGCCAUCUGGGGCCGGAUCUGUUGUAGAUCAGAGUAGAUCGGGGUCGAGGACAAGCAACACCAUGGCCACCAGCAUCCAGCGAGGACCGCCGCCGCAGUCGCCGCCACCCCCCGCGCCGUCCGGGUCAAAGAGGGAUCUGCCGACCGCGCACAGGGGCCACCACCGCUUGCACCCACCGGAGCACUGCCGCUAGCCCAGCGCCCGCCAACGCCUGCCGCGGGCCGCCACCGUGCGCCCCGCUCCUCGCCACCGCUCGCCGAGGCCUGCCCCCUCGCGCCCGACCGCGAUCGCCACAGGACACCGCCGUCAACCACCUAGAUCCGCCGCCCGCGGAGGAAGGGGAGCCGGGAGAGGGAGUCCCCCGCCGCCGCCGUGUGCCACGCGUGUUUCACCCGGCGGCGGCGAGGAAGGGAGGAUAAGAGGGCGGCGGCGGCGCCUAGGGCUGGAGAGCCCCCGAGUCGCCCAGGGCGGGGGCGACGCGAGGGAUGGUGAGACUGUCUUGACCACGUUUGAGUGCACCCAUGAACCAAGUACAUAAAUAGUGCUGCUAAAAUGAAAAAAAAGAAACCAUUGUCGGAGCGCGGGCCGAAGGCUCAACUACAACCGGAGCCGGAUGCCAUUCAGGCUCUGAUAUGAGUGAGAUUUGAGCCUUAGAACGGCUGCCCCAGGAGCCACGCCGACUGCUACCUGGUAGAAAAAGGCGGUGGCCGCUGCCAUGGGUUCUUUUACAACAAGGCAUUUCGGAUCUGAUCCUCGAGCCAAGCAAUCCAACAAAGUUUCAGUACUACUAGCAGCAAAGGUUCCACGUCGAAGCCUUCACACCGCAUACAACAUGGAAACAUGGAGCAUACGCACAAAGGUCAUCACCAAAUAAGUAGACGAGUGAGACCAAGAGACCAAGGAAGUACGCUGUCAAUGAAUCACGAGCUUUGCACGAGAGACAACAAGAGAAUGAAAUCGGAGGCACCAAUCAGCCAAUAGAGCCUAUGCCACUGCCUUAUUCUGUUAUUUGUGAGUCCAAGCAAGUCGCGGAGACCUAUGCCACUGCUUUGCACGAGUGAGACCAAGAGACCAAGGAGAAUAAAUAUAUAAUCAAACCAAUAAGACACAGAAAUAAUGGCAAUUCAUAUUUAAAUAACUUUAGCUUGAAAAGAUAAAACAAACUCUGGUACAAAUAGACUCUGACACUUGUGGGCCUGCAACAAGUGAUUAUAAUGGCUUAUUAUCUCGUUUAGUCCAAACCAAGUCUUUAUUACUACCUCCGUCACAGUUUAGAAGGCAAACACGUGUACCUAGGUCGUCAAUUUAACUUAUAUAAAAUCUAUUGUUUAAUAUAAAAAUUAUAUCAUUAGAAAAUAGAACAUCUAAAAUUUUUAAUGAUAUAUUUUUUAUAAUAUAUGCUUACCAUUAAGUUGAUCAAAUUAACGAUCUAGGUACACGCGCCGGACUUAUAAACUGAGAUGUAGGGAGUAUGUAUUUAUGUUAGAAGGAUCAGUAUAAAUAAGAAAUCGAUCAAAGAAUGCAACUAAUUUUAAGCCUUUAAAUGUGACAAACCCGGAUGUGAGCAGGGGCCUAGGAGUUGGUUCUAAGGCCCAUUAGGCCCACCAACCCGGAUCAGAACGCCGUGCGUGCAGCGGCUCAUCUGAGCCGUCCGCCUCCCCAGCACCCAAACCCUAUAACUACGACGCGAGAGCCCUCGCCGCCAAUCUUCCUCACGCUUCCCGCCGCCGACGCCAGCCGACCGAGCGCGCUCACCGCACCGCCGCCGCCGUCGCAGCCAUGGUUUGUCCCUCGCCUCUGCUCCCCCGUCCACCCUGUUGUUUCCUACAUAGAGUGAGAGAGAUGUGUUUCGCUGCUUCGCGACCGCGGCAGAUGUGCUCGGGUUCACCAAUUGCUGCGUCCUUUCUGCUGCUCAGUUGCGUUCGUGGGUUCUCUGCCAUGAGCAACACUGAUUAGAUGCCCGCUUCAGUCCAUUCCGUUCAACCAUGGGGAGAAAAUGAGGCAUUUGCCUCUGGUUAUGUUUUGCUCUUGCCUUGCCCUGUCAUGCUGCUGCUAUUGGAAUUCUAUAUGCGCUUGUCAUGCUGCUGCUAUUGUACUUCUCUGUGAUGAUCAAAUCCAUGAUAAAAUCCUUCUGCCCGUUCUGAAUGCCAAACCGACUGCAUGUACCAUGUUUGUUUUUGUCAACACUAGUAUAUUACUUCCUCCGUUCCUAAAUAUAGGUCCUUUUAGAGAUUCCACUAGGAGACCACAUACGGAUGAAAAUGAAUGAACCUACACUUUAAAAUAUGUCUAUAUACAUCCGUAUGUAGUUUUCUAAUGAAACCUCUAAAAAGACUUAUAUUUAGAAACAGAGGGAGUAUAUUGUAAUACAUUUAGCAAGUCUGACGUUAGUUUGGGAUAUGACGAAGGAUAAUUGCUCCAUGUUUCUGAUAAUCAUGUGAUGAUCUCCAUUGAAACACCCAAUACCUCUGAUUCUAUAAAAGCAUAGGAUUGAAUUACUCUCCAUUCCGUUUAUUUUAUCAGGCCUUGCUGUUUUCUUCUCCAUGUGCACACAACAUCUCUUGUGUACUGAUGAGUCGAUUGUUCACUUAAUUCAGUACUGCUUUAGAUUCCUAGCAUGGGAUGUGCCUUAGAUAUGUAAACUGUUGUGAUAAUGUAUAUCAGGCUGCUCCUCUUAUUUUGAGAAGACGGAAUGGAUAGCUCAUCGUGUCAGUCAAGUCUAAUUUAGUUUUCAUUCUGUGUUAGAUUGACUGUAGUUUGUAUUCAUGCAUCUUCAAAAUAUGUAAUAUUGUAAGUGAUCUUGUGAAGGAUGUGCUGCAUGCAACUUGACAUUGCAUGGUACAUCUAAAACGCAAUGGGGUUGGCCAUAUUGUGGACUAUUCAGUGAUUUCGUUUUGUGCACUUGGAAUCUCAGGUUUUUGUGUACUUCGCUGUGCUGACCUAAUCUAGAACUAGGCUUACAGGUCCAUUUGUUUUCAUCUAUUGCCCUGACCAGAUAACUAUUUGUCAUUAGUUACUUCUGGUUUUUUGCCUUAACUCAUUUUUUUAUGCAACUAGUGCUGUAAUUUCAAUGCUUAUCAUGUAAUAUUUGAUAUUUUAACUAUGUGGUCCUAUGAUGGCAUGAAAUCUUUGAGACCUGAUUAUUCUAAUGAUGACAACCAUAAGCAUGUUUCUGAGAACCUAAUUGAAGUUUGCACCAGACAUUUUUUUAGUAUUUUUUGAGCAUUUGCUGAACUUGCUUCUGGAGUUCUUUUUAGCUAUUGCAAUAUCCUCUCAACUUUUAUCCUGUUUCACGCAAGGCCUAUGUUAAUACUAGUUCUGUUGCAAAUGCUAUGUAGGUGAACGUUCCAAAGACCAAGAAGACCUACUGCAAGAACAAGGAGUGCAAGAAGCACACCCUUCACAAGGUCACUCAGUACAAGAAGGGUAAAGACAGUCUGUCUGCCCAGGGAAAGCGCCGUUAUGACAGGAAGCAGUCGGGAUAUGGUGGUCAGACCAAGCCUGUCUUCCACAAGAAGGUACAGCAACAUCUUUGUGUGUGAUUGUCUAUCGAUCUGUCAAAACAAUACAUAGUUCAAUCUUCUCCGUAAGAAGAUACAUAGUUCAAUCUUUUGCACAAUCUGCUUAUGGUGUGUCUGUUUAGUCUAAGAUCAGAUAAAGUUUAAAACCAGUUGUGCAAUGCUAAUUUUGUGACCUUUUCUUCAGGCAAAAACCACCAAGAAGAUUGUGCUGAAGCUGCAGUGCCAGAGCUGCAAGCACUACUCUCAGCGCGCCAUCAAGGUUUGUUGCUUUCAUGUUGAACCGGACAUCUACUUUCGUUCAUGUUGUGCUUUGCUCAGUCUGUCUUUAUUCCUCUGUGCAGAGGUGCAAGCAUUUUGAGAUUGGUGGAGACAAGAAGGGCAAGGGAACAUCACUCUUCUAGAUUUCUUUCACCUAUCUGUACUCGUUGUGGUCAAGAACUAUUACUGCUUGUCUUAAUGUAUCGAUGUUAUGAGUUGAACCAACCAGACAUUGUCCUGUAUCCAAACCUGUUUAUCUGGCAUUUGAGCAACGAUUGACUUUUUUGCAAAAUGAUCCUUCGUAGUUUGAAUCCUCUUCUAAUCUCAUGCAUUGCCGUACUGUCGAUAUGAAUGUCAUGUGGCCUGAUCGGUAUAAUUUGAGCUGUGCCGCAGCUGUUUAUAGUUCUCUAUAAUUCCGAUAUCCAGACAAUUCAGACAAACGGCUAAUUACAAAGCUAAAUAUUCAGAGAUCUUCUCAUGAUGUGCGACAAGCGUUCUUGAUAAAAUCCUCGCCAGCGGUGGAGCAAGCUACAUAUUCAAACAAAUGAGCAGUCAAGACGUUUAAUCCACGCGAGCGGUCAAACAUUGAUCGGUUCAGAUACCAUUGCUGCUCAUCAAGACGUUUAACUAGCCCCUCAAGCAGUCGAGCAAUGCAUGCUUUUCAUCUUGGUUUUAUUUUUUCCUGAGAAAUUCUUGUUUCUUUUUAGCAGAACCGAUCAGGCCGAGUAAUAAGUGAGGAGAAGACCCAGUUUACAGAAAACAAGACUGAAGAGAAGGCCCAUCAUCUUUCUAUGUGAGCGUGGGCCGAGGCGUUGGUUUGGAGGCCCAAUUAGGCCUACGAACCACAGCCCAACCAAAUCGGAUCAGAACGACGUUCACUGGCCGAUCCGAGCCGUCCACCCGCUAGGGUUUUCCCCUCCCCAUCACCCCAUCCCUAUAAGUACGAGGCGAGAGCCGCCGCCGCCAACAAUCUACGGAGAUCGGGUUCGUCCACACACCUCCGCCGCCGUCUCCGCCGCUGCGAACCGGAGAGCGAGGCCGACUCCGACGCCGCGAUGAGGGCCAAGGUUUGUACUGCCGCCCGUCGUCUACCUCGCCUGUUGUUUCCUGCUUCGCAACCGCGGUAGAUCUGGACAUGUGGUAGUGAUUAUCGAGUGUUCGUUCUUGCUGUUGCUGGUGCUCGCUUGCGUAAUUAGUGGUUCUCUGUGAUGAUCAACACUGAUUAGAUGUCCGAUCCAAUCCAUUCCAUUCAACCGUGGGGACAAAACUGAGGCAAAUUUGUCUGAGAGAACUUGCUAGAUUACUUUGUGCAGUUUCUGUUAGCUGAUUUGAUGUUUUUUCCUUGCAUGCUUGUUCGUGUAGUUCUCUGUGAUGAUGAAAACAGAUGACGAGUCCGAUGUAAUCCAUUCUAUAAAACCAUGUGGACAAUCGAGGCAUUUGUCUGAGAGAACAGCGUUUUAUUAGCCAGUGUUUUUCCCAGCUUUUUUUUAAGUUUAAUUGCGUCGGUUGGCAUGAUGAGGAAGACAAAUUGAUGUCCGAUCUAUUUGACGAUAAAAUCCUCCUACUCAUUCUGAAUGUCAAACCCGCUGCAGAUCUCUUUGUCUUGCUCAACUAGUUUGUAAAUAGCUAUGACAUUAGAAUAGUUUUCUUUUUGCCAUGCCGAAAUGGUAGUUUGGAACAUGAUGAAGAACAAUUGGUCCGUGUUUCUGAAAAUCACGUGAUGAUAUCCAAUGAAACACUCAAUCUUCUGAUUCCAAAACAAAGGUUACUAUCUCUUCUUUUAAAUGUGAAAUUCUUGUUAUGUCCAUCAGCAUUUCCUAGAUCAUCUAUCCAAUUUAUGCUGAUGAGGUGCAUGGUUACUAUAAUUUGCAGUGGAAGAAGAAGAGGAUGAGGAGGCUCAAGAGGAAGCGCCGAAAGAUGAGGCAGCGAUCCAAGUAGGCGCCUUGGAGCAGGGAAUGCAUCAUCUUUACAUCAGGCAGCUAGGCACCGAGGGAUGACGGCAUGAUCUAGUGAUUCCUGAUGUGUUUGCUGUUAUGGCUGUGGAAGUUGUUUAACCUGCGUUUGGUCAAAUUUAGCUGUUUAAUACUAGUCUGGUUAUGUUCCAGGACUGAGUUUUAUGUAAUGUGAGGAUUAUGCGUGGUUGUGACUGAAUUUUAUGCAGCUAUUAAUUUUGCAGUACUCUGAAAUAAGUCCCUGCAGUCGAUCUUGUUUGAUGUUUUGCUGUUCUUUCUCUUCCUCAGACUAUAGAAUUGCAGAUGAUAAAUAUUUGUGUUUGCUUUUCAAUAAUCAUAUAUAGUUGAAAAGAAAAAAUCAUACAGCCAUUGUGUAUGAGGUACGAAAGAUUGUGUGGAUUGUAGUCCCUGACAGAUUUUAAACUGUGCGUUUUCAUUUAGGGCCUGAAUCAAACAUAGCUUUAUCUAAUUGACAUGAUGCAAGAAACUUCAUUUGAUCCGGUAAACUUCAUUUGUGUUUGACAUAGCUUCCUUCUCAAAUGCAGAAGCGGUGACCCGGGGCAGUGCGGAUCGGAGCUUCCGAACGUUUCAUAGAGUAAAAAUGCAUUUCUGAAAUCUUUUAAUAAAGUGAAUCGAGCGGAAUUCCGUAGGGACCAAUUUUGCCGUUGAUUGCAGCACCAUAGUGCCGUUAUUUUGUUUGCCUUUGCGUUUCCAAAUGAAACAAGUUAGCCCUCUUCCAAACUCCUUUAUCAUACUAUAUACGUACUGUGCAAUGCUAAAAGGAAGGAAGCCUGAUGGCUGGUAACUAGCCGCUAGUUGGUGGUUUGGGGUGUGCGCGGUGGUGCUGCAGAAUGCGCUGCUGGAGUUCUUUCAGAAUGUUCAGAAUUUUUUCUCGUCCUGAUUGAAUUCAUCAGUAAAGUUCAGUUCUUCAGCCUUAUUUUUUCUGAAGAAAGUGUACGAGGCAAAGAUGUAACGUUAGUUUUCAGAAUGUUCAGACUUCCGGUGCUCCUUUUUUUUUCUGAAGAAAGUUACACGGGAAUCUCUUGUCAAUUUCGUUUGUUAUUCGUUGAGAUCGUAUCAUAUGUCAGUUUGGUGUGUGGUUGUGUACAGUACAGAGAAAUUAAAAGAAGACACUCAAAUUUAGUACUGCAUCUAAUUUGAUUUUGUAAGUCUUCCCUUGAGAUUUGGUUUUAGUAGUUGAAUUUUGGGAGGGGCUGUUGGUGGAGAAGACACUCAAAUUUAGUGUAGUUGAAUUUUGUGAGCAGUUUUUUUAUAAGACACUCGAAGAAAUCUUGCAGAGUUUAAAUUAUAGGCCAGUGCUAUGCACUGGCGCGUCGGCCGAAACUUUCGGCCGGCCGCACGAUCCGUCAACUGCCGGCGUCCGCACCUUUAGAUCUUCAUGCAAUAUUUUUUUUCCGAUGCAGCAAAAUUUCAACGCGAUGCAGCAAUUUUUUCAACGGUUGUAACAAAAAUAAAAUUUAUAGCAAAAAAAUAUCUACGUGAUCGUAGUAAAAAAAGAAGUUGAUGGUGCGGGGUAGCAAAAGUCAAAUGCCGGUUGUAACAAAUAUCUACGUGAACGUGUAUAUAACUUUUUUAGUGAACGGUUGCAACAAAAAAUGAUGUCGAUUGCAGCAAAAAUUAACACGGUUGUAGCAAAAGUAAAAAACACCGAUUGUAACGAAAAAAUCGAUGAACUUGAGUUAUAACCAAACGUAUAUACAAUUUUUUUAUUGGACAAAUGUAGAAAAAAACGUUUGUAGCAAAUAUGACGAUGGUUGCAACAAUUUAGACAAAAAAAUGUUACAUGCCUAAUCAGCGGGUCGUGUGCGGCCGGCCGAAUAAUUCGGCCAGCGCACCGGCCAGAAACGUUUCCCUAAAUUAUAUCCAUAGGUGGAGAAGAAAGAUGGAGUGCGGCUGCCCUGUUUUAGGGGAGCUGUUGGAGACGCUCACUUUCUACUGCCUUAAAGAAAAAUUUGUGCCCCAAAUUUUACUCCAAGCAAGUGUUGGUACCCUAUUAUAGGCAGCUAUUGAAGAUGCUUUCAACACAACUUAUUCCUCUGUCACAGUUUAGAAGACGUACAUUCAAAAGAUGAAAAGAUCAAAAUCGUUGGGACCAAGGUGAUAUGUAGUUGGCUCAGUUCCUUUUGCUCAUGACUAAAAAAUAGCAACGUAUUAAUACCAAGGCGUCUAAUUAGCUGAGAAUUCAAUGCACAGGUACCCCCUUCAUUAGUAAACGGGCCGUCUUCAUGCAUGCAACCGUGGUAGUACUAUGCAAGCAGCAGCUAUUAGUAGUACUAGUUGAGUACCCGUGCGUUGCCACGGGAUAUAAAAUGUGUUAUGAAAAAUAAAUAAAGUCAUAAUUCGAAUCAUGAAGAUUAUAUUUAAUCUCGACUCUCUUACUCAAACACCUUGCAGCCCACCUUAUGCAUCGGACUCAAAAUAUCUUGACUUUAUACAUCAUUUUAGAAGGGACCAAUGUUCUUACCAGCAGCAACUGAAUAGACAAAAUACUUGUAAGUUGUAACUGUAGCAUUACCUCAGUAAUAAGCUUGACUUCUUAGUUCAUUGAUCCACGACACCUAAACAGCCAGCACACAGUUAGCAAGUGAAGGAGAAAGAGAAAUAUCGUAAAAAAAUGGCACAAACAACUAUCUCAAAAACAAUAAGGAUAAGAUUAAAAUAAAAUAAAAUUCAAUGGUAGCAUAAAUAGUGUAUCAGAUGAAUAAACACACGAAAUUAUUCUACAAGCACUCCCAAGCUCCAAAAUAAUUGAGUAUUGAGCACAGGCUAUUUGAGCUCAGGUCCACAUGACGGUGAGACGGUCAGCGACAAGCACAGAAUUUCGAAACACAUCCCAAGCAAUUUUGCAACAGAUGAAUUCAUAUGUAUGUAGAUCAUAGUUUCUUGUUGGCUAAUCAAAGUGGGUAGAAGGAGUAUUGCAGUUCCUGAUGAGAGCUUGUUUCCAGCUGUCAAUUGCUCUGUACUUUAUUCGCUAUUAGAUCAUACUGAAACUUACAUAAUGUUGAAAAUUUAAAAAAAGAAUGAAGGUUCACAGUGAUCAGAGAAGUAACCAAUAUUGUGGAGGUGUAGAACAUUUGAAUGUUGGUCAUAACAUAAAACAAGGAUUAUUGUUCUUUGAAUACUGUUCUUCAUAUGUAUUAGUAAUACUUAAUAACUUGAGAUAGGAAGUUAUUUAUUUCCUAUCUCUGCAUACAAGUGGCAUCUAGCACGUUUGAAAAUGUGUCCAUGGUUGGGGUGAAGUACAGAAAUGUGUCCGUGAUUCUGUAGCUAUCAACAGUGCGGUCAAAAUUCUUCGUGUGCAACUAAUCUCUUACCAUUUACAUACAUGAAAUUAGCCACAUACUUGUAUGGUCACGCAACAAAGAGAGAAAACUAACAUCGGGGCAUGCUUAUUCUUCUUAUUCAGGUGAAGCCGGUGCUGAAGAGGGUGUAGUUCACCCUGGUGGGUCUGGCACUGUCGCUGACCCUCUGCAUCCUCCUCUACGCCAACACGGAGAAGCCGAGGGAGCCGCUGGAGAACACCGCCGACGGGAGGGCCGUCCCCGAGGUGUACAGCGCCGCCGCCGCCAGGCUUGUCGUCCCUUCGGUGAGCGCGUCCUCCGCCUGGAAUAUCUGCUUGCUGAGGUUGUCGAUGAACCUGGCCACGGACUCCUCGACGCCGGUCGCGUCGGCCGGGAACGUGGUGGGUAUCUCCGCGUCCAUCAGGGCCUGCUGCGCGGCAUCGUCGGUGACUACGCCGACCAGAGCGUCCGUGGCCACGUCGGCGGAGACGGGCAUCAGCGGCGGGUCGACCCCGGCGCGCCAUAGGGGGUCGGGCAGCUCGGCGGCGGACGCGAACCCCCGCACGAUGUCGUCCGGCGCGGUGGCGUAGGGGGAGAGGAUGGCGGAGUCGGAGAAGAGCGGGCGGUCAGGCAGGACCUGCGCGACGAGAGGGUCGGCGGCGAAGGACCUGAGCGCGCUGGCACCGACCCUCCGCAGCGCCCGCGCACCGGCCGCGGUCACCGGGCAGAGGGGGAGCAUGGGGUGGGCGCGGCAGAGCAGAAGGGCAGAGCCGAUGCGACGCCGGGAUUCGGUGAUCUGCGCGCGACAGUGGAUUGGUGCUGGGAUGGCCGGCGGCGAGGGGGUCGGCGUAGGCGGCGUGGCGUGGGUAUCGGCAGGACUGUGUUUGCCGGCGGCGAGGGGGUCGGGGUGGGUGGGGCGUCGUCUUGUCGGGAGAGAACGGGGGCGACGGGGUCGGGGGUGAUUGGAUCGUGGGUUCGUGGCUUCUGGUUGUUUCUUUUUCAUUUUUUUCUCGCUUGCCGUUUUUCUUAACGGGGGAAGGAGAAGGUCGACCGAGUGGUGGUCUGAGGUGCGAUGUAGGUUUUUUAUUGAACUAAUCGGCUGGUUUAUUGUCUGGUUUAUGGAGGGAUUGAAAAAAAUCGGUGGAACGGUGGGAAGGCCAGCGGUAGGAGGGGGAUCGCUCGAGGUCGAACCAUCACGACGGCAGAUCCCCCUUUAAUAGUAGAGGCUAUACCAAGUAAUUAAGCACCAAGUCAACAUAAUGCGCUCAUUGCAGGCAAGGCAUAACCUGAAAACUGGAAAUAGUUUCUUCUUGUAAGAAGAAAAUAAUGCCUUAUACUGGCAUUUAUAUUCAUAGUUAGCUGGGAAGCAAGAACCAUUUUCUUCAUAAGAGAAGACAAAAAUCAAAUAAAAGACAUACAGAGUGUAGCAUACAAUAUAUAUGAAAAUGUUAAUCGAAUAAAAGCUAAAAUACAUUGUGCGGAAAUCCAGAUAAAACAAUUGAUACAUUUGAGUUCAAAAAGUAGAUGUCAGAUAUCACACAAUUGCUUAUCAAAAAAUCCUAAUAGUUGGUCGGCGAUCCCACGUGUUCAGGGGUAAUCCGUGGGCUAAUUAUGAGUGCGUGAGUCAGCCCCCCCCCUCCCGCCCGAUCAAACAAGAUUAGGAAGUUGCACCUUAAUGAAUAUACAAGCUAGACUAAUAACUGGCGAUGCUGCAAUAAAUUAUUCAUAGUUCCAUUUGCAAACAAAGGAUUCUUUUGUAUGGCAACUACUAAAGAGAUCAAACUACAGACAUGGUGUAUGCUCAAAAUGGAGUCGAUAACUGUGGAUUAUGCCACAACUGGUGUUUUCAGAGUGCAAGUACAUGACGGAUGUUGGCAUUCAAGAUGAAGGAACUUGGUUAAUGGUGGGCCCUGCCUUACAAAAUUAUGAGUUCUGCAUCCUGAAUUCUAGAUGCCAAGAUUGGUGAUCUUUAGUUGAAUGAGAAAGAGAGAGAGAGGAGGGAGGGAGGGAGAGAGGGAGAGAGGGGUGGUCAAUCAUGUGUCAUAUUUCAAAUAGAACCCGAAACCGGACCUCAUGUGUGCACUUGGGGAGAGGGAUCAUGAAGGCAUGUCUGAGCCUGUGAUCGUUGACCUUGAGAACAUGGUCUUGCGGCCCAUGAGUUAAGCAAAGAGAAGAAAAAUAAAUUACUAUUAGUUGUCUUGGAAAGUUCAAGACCAUCUUCAUUUGUUUGCAAGAGUAAUUGAGUAUAUAUUAAACACAAAUCAUAAAUGAACAUUCGGUUCACAUAUUCAACAUAAGUUCACGCAAAACUGGCAAGGCUCAUUGUUCUAAGUUGUGGAAACUGAAAACUGUACUGUACUAAGAAAAAAACAUAUUCUGCUUUCCACCUAACACCCAUCCUACUACCAGGGUUCAGUACAACUUAUUGAUACAUAUGGAGACUUGUGGUGACGUAUAAUAUAUAGUACCAAAGAAACAUGUGGGUCUUACUUGAAUCUGAAUGUUAGGUGGAAAUUCUUGAAAGCAGACCUUCAUGCCCACAUUUGUGGCUUCUUGACCAUACUCUCUUGAUUAUGCUCUGCAUAUAAAUAGAUCACUGUCCCGGCUACUAUUUUCUAAAGUAUAAAUGCAUUAUCAAAAGACCGCGUCAGCUGUUCACCUUGAGGUGAUGGUACACCUCAACUCUAUCUUCAUGAGGCAACGUCAGUUGGGAGGGUCAUGAACUUCUGUACAAAAAUUAUUUGGGAGUCAUCACAUAUUAGAUAUAACAGGUUGUGACAAAUUCCAUCCAUUCUCAGCUUACAUAGCUAGCUUGUUUCCAGCGUGAAAACCUCCCUUGCAAAAUUGAAAGCAGACACAAGUAGCACCAUAGUCUUGUUUCCUACAAGAUUUGCAAUGUGCCGCAAACAUAUGACAUACUUUAGUACAUCAUCUAAUAAUUCAACUGAUAAUUUGGUGCACUUCAAUUCCACACACCUAUGAACGAGGUUCACUUCCUCGCCCUCCUCAUCACAGUUCGACAAGACAUCAACUGCCGUCGCCUUUGUCAUUGCACUGACAGCGAGAGGUAGGGGGAGACCUAUGCGACAACAACAUCUUGGUUGGCACUGGUGAAAAUGAGGGAGUGGCGUACCAGAUUAAGAUCCACAAGACCCUCGUCCACACGUCAAACCCAGCCGGUCUGAUCGUGGUGGAGAGUACUUCUCAAAAUUAAACGAACUUAAGUACAAAGAGAGAUUACCCUACAAUUAACACAUGUUAAUUAAACUCUAACAAAUACAAUUUCAAGUGUUGUCAGCCCAUAGCCGAGCAAGAGAACGGGGGGUUCCUCGUACACGAGCGCUAAGAACAUCUUGUGUAGCUUCAGAAAGGCAACAAGUAACUUCCUCGAGGUAAGCUCUAACUACCAUUAAAGUUGCAUAGCUUUUUUUAUUGAGCAAGGAUGCAUUCAAAGCUUGAAUCAUAUGCUUACCACAUUAUGCUAUGAUUUACUGUUUGAUUAGGACAUUAACGACAGUAACUCUGUAACUUCUACACCCUUCAUUCCCUGUCACUCAAAUCAAAAUAUUUCAAGACCAUGCAAGUUCUAAUGGAAACGGUGCAGUUCCCUCCACAUUUUCUCAUCCGGGCUUGGGACCGGCAAAGGCAGUGUUAAACUACAAAACUACUUACUAAACACAAAAAUUAGCAAACACCACAACCAAUUAUAUUCAACUAAGUACACAAGACACAAGAUCAACCAAAGGCAGGAUUGGCACCGCACACAAUUCACCAAAGGCAGUAAAUAUUAACACAACGUUUGCACAAGAUCACAAGGCAGGGAGAUACGGGCACAAAUAAGGAAAGCUAUGAAUUCCAGAACCUGAAUGAGAAUAUCCAGCAUGAAUGAAACUGACAUGUACAAGCUACUUGAGUUGAAAAGUAUACAAUCAGCAGUAGUCAUCAAAUUUAGCCAGACUUAUUUUACAAGUUGCCAAAUUAAAAUAGGAAGUUCCGCAGCAAACCGAGAAGAUGCACUGAAGAUUCGUAUCCAGAUCCCACUGGAGAACCACCAGAAGAACAUCACUUCUGAAAAUCAAUUCUAUACCAACAAAUCGGAAUCAUAUUCAGUGGAAAUGACACUAAUCAAAGACAUGAUGAGGAGUAGAGUGUCCAUGGCAAUUUGUUUGUUCAAGCUUCCAGUUCAGAAGCUUCAACUCUCCAUUGUUUUGGUAUAAAGCGUUAAUCCCUAACCUCUUUUUGCAUAUCAAGCCAUCCACAUUACCCAAAUAUAAGUCAGGAGAGGAUCACAAGCCAAAAAUACGACAGAUUUUGAUGGCUACCAGCAUGGCUUGGGCUAAACAAUCUGCAACCACAAGAAGGCGGAAGCAAGAAACCACAAUCAAUGCUAGCAGCUAAGACAACAGAAGCUUCUUCAACAGAUCAAAAUAGAGAGCACUGGGUUUUUUCAGUUGUAGGAUGCCCCGUCUAGAUUGAUGCUCCAGAGAAACCUUCGAACCUUGUACAUCCACCAAAUCAAUCUGAAUGUUUAAAUUUUGUCUCUGUAAGAUAAAUUAUAUGUUGAAAAAAUUAUGAUGAAUUGGAAAGGUGCAGGAUUUAGAAGAUCUUCAAACAUAUUCAGCAUCAUGUUGGACCUAAAUCGUCAGUUAGGACCUGUAGUGGACCAAGAAACCUUUGUUUCAACUUUUGCUUUGGGGAAAUGAAGCUGCCUAUAAACAGCUAAAUGAUGCAUCAAACAGUCAGGGGAUAGGAUAAGCUUGCUUGGCUAGUUAGGCAACAACGCCAAUCCCAGUCUUCCAGAUAGCGAACUAUAUUAUCUCUCAUCCAUGUCAAUGUCUGCAAGGGCACAUGGUUACCAAGGGCACAGAAAACCAUGUCCUGGAAGUACAAUGUUCAAAGCAAAUCAGGAAAGAUGAAGUCAACAGAAUAAACCCCCUGUAAACCAACAGUCAAAACAAGGCACCUUCCAGAAAGCCCCAUAAGUCCAAUAGCUCGAGAACCAACAGUCAAUAUGAGAGAUGCUGUAACCUUAAUUCGACUGUGCAAACAAAGAAGCUAAAUUGAGGAUCAAUUAUCCAAACGUAGUUCCCAAAUUCUCUGAUCCCCAUCCCAUGGUUAACGAUCCAAUCCAUGUCAAAUCAACCCCCACGGCCCCACCGUAGUCCCCGCCUGCAGCGGCGGACAACAUGCCCAUGGCAGAGUCGAUCCCAUACCCCUUCCGCUCAGGUCUCUCUCCAUUCCCGCGGUUGCCUAUACACCAAAGGGUGUUGGCAUGUUGCAGCCUCGGACACUUCGUGGAUGCUAAACCGCAAGACAGCCUGCUCCGCCUCCAAUCGCGCACCACGCUCCCACUCUCUUCCUGCAUCCUAGCGGUCGAGCUUCCACCGACGACAGGCUACAGCUACCUGCUCCUCCCACGAUCCCCAGCGCCUCCCGCCGUCCGAUGCCAGCAACCAAUCUCCCGCUGUCCGUUGCGCCGCCACCCACCAGUCAGUGUCCCGCCGUCCGUUGGGCCACCAGCCGGUCUACCGCCACCCGUUGCCACUCGCCGGUCCAUGCCAUAUGGGAGAGGAGAACGUGUGGAUGCGCCAGUACAGGCUACAGGGAGAAGAUGGGUUGGAGAGAGGGUAGGGAGAUAGGGUUACCUGGGCCUCCUUCAUCGCUGCCGGAGGACACGACGCUCCUACUCGUCUCCCUUCGCGCGUCGAGAUCCUCCUGGACUCGGUGAAGAACGAUGAGAUGGAAGGGCUUGGAUCCAUCGAUCCAGUCUAAUUUGGCUUCAGUAUGUAACCGCGAGGAGAGAGACGUGAUCUGGAGGCUGGAGCGACCGGGUCGGGGAGAUAGGUGCGCAGAAGUGGGACGUGCGUUCAUGGGUGGUGAGAUUUUCCCCCUUUCUAUUGGUUUUUUAUGGGCGUGGAUAGAAGGACCGGACAAAGGUUUUUUUUUUAAUUUAAUCGCCUGGUUUACGAAGGGAUGAUAAAAAUCGGUGAAAGUGGUAGCAGGAGGAAGUGGGGAGGUGGGAUCAAGAGGUCGAACCAUCGCUCUGGUCGAACCAUCACGACGGCACAUCCCCUUUAAUAGUAGAGAUUAAUUAACAAAGUAGUAAGUGUCACGUGUCUUAAACUUUUUUAUUUUGGAAAUGCAUGUACUCCCUCCGUCCGUGAAAGACUGUACAUAUAAAGAUGUACACAUAAAUCAAGAGAAACCUUCAUGACAUAAUUAAUGUUCAAAAAUAACGACUUAUGUGUACAUGCAACCAUUGAAAGAAAGGGAUUAAAUACCGGUUGCUGCAUACAGUAUUUAAGGUUAGGCAUGCAGCCAAUGAAUAGAGCACAAGUUGAUACAUUACUUAUUUAAUACCAGUAAAAUUAAAGGCUAAGUGCAUUGGGGGUGUAGAUGUACACUCUUUGUGGGAACAAAUUCUAGCACUAUCUCCAUCACAGUUUAGAAGGCACACACGUGUAUCUAUGUCGUCAAUUUGAUUUAUAUAAAAAUUAUUGUUUAAUAUAAAAAAUAUAUCAUUAAAAAUAAGAACGUCUAAUUUUUUAAUUGAUAUAUUUUUUAUAGUAUAUGUUUAUCAUUAAGUUGGUCAAUUUGAUGACUUAGGUACACGUGUCGGACUUAUAAACUGAGAUGGAGGGAGUACUAGAUGUACAGUUUUUGACGAACGAAGGGAGUAAUAUAGAGGGUGCUUGGAUCCAAGAGACUAAAACUAGUCUGACUAAAACUAGUCUCUUUAAGAGGCUAACGUUCCAAACACCACUGACUAAAGAGAGGCUAAAACUAGUCUUGAGGCUAAAAUCUUUUAGUCAGGGGUACCCCUACUAAAUGUGCAUUAGUCAUCUCUCUCCUCAUUUAAUUCCUCAUGCAAGUUCUGGAUGGAGGGUUUGGAGGAUAAUAAAUGCUCAUUAACUUGAUUUUAGUCUCUUUAGUAUUUGGAUCCAAGCAUGAGUGAGGCUAGCAAGUUUUAGUCUCAUUACUUUUAGUCAUUGGGACUAAAAGUAUCAAGCAUCCUCAUAGUAGACUCGUUGUAUGCUUAAAUCUUUGUGAAUGGAUAUAGUUGGGACUUGGGAGGUGUGGAACCGGUGAGAGUCUAUUACAUGGCAAAUAUGUGGAUUGCCACACAUAAAUGUGAUGAUACCCAAAUUGAGCUCAUUUAUAGGUGCUGAAAUAUUAUAGGCCAACACAAACCAUGCAAUGUGGUGGGCAGCGGGGCACCUUUCAUGUCAUUAAUUCUCAACCGAUAAAUAUCAAUCUCUUCCGUGUCUCUCAAUUUCAAAUACAUUUCCUCUUGAAUAAAUGAGACAAUCCAUACAUCAAGAGAGUAGAGAGUGUGAUCCAUACGAGUUGCAUAGGAUUGGAAGGCACCGGAAAUUAUUUUAUGAGCCGCACUAGGCGUUUGCCGGUUGAAGCAAUGGAAAAGGUCGUCCACCUCCAUAGCCGUCGGAUUAGGACAAAAAGAGCCGGUAGAUAUCCCUCAGGUGAGCAAACAGAAUUGUAACAAGCAAGUUGUUGCGCACGUCUCUCUACAACACCGAUCUUGUUGCAAAAAGCCUCGAACAGCGGACCAUUUUCUCCGUCCUUCAUUGUUCGUUCUGUGCAAUAGGAGUCUUGUUGCGCUUGGCCUUCUGCAACAAGAGACCGGUUGCAAAUCAUUUUCGGAUCAUUUCAUUUUCUUUUUCUCGGUUGCCCAUCAUUGUAACAGAAGUCAUGUUGUAGUUUUUUUAGCAAGUGUCAUCUUGCCUAAUCCUUUUGCAAAAAUAUAGAGGGCGUGUGCAUAAACUUUUCCGUUGCAGUUUUUUUUUCAACAGAGUCGACCAUGGACGGUAAUAAUAAGAAAAAAAAUAGAACGGUGCAGAAGGUCCAAAUAGGACAUGCGUCACACGCUAGAUGCGGCGGACGCCUCGCGCUGGAUCGGCCGGGUAAAGGGAAUCAUUUCCCUUAUUUUAUCGCGAGGUAGAAAGUUAAAACUAUGCAUAUUGUCAUGUGUGUUGGGGAACGUCGCAUGGGAAACAAAAAAUUUCCUACGCGCACGAAGACCUAUCAUGGUGAUGUCCAUCUACGAGAGGGGAUGAGUGAUCUACGUACCCUUGUAGACCGUACAACAGAAGCGUUAGUGAACGCGGUUGAUGUAGUGGAACGUCCUCACGUCCCUCGAUCCGCCCCGCGAACAAUCCCGCGAUCAGUCCCACGAUCUAGUGCCGAACGGACGGCACCUCCGCGUCCAGCACACGUACAGCUCGACGAUGAUCUCGGCCUUCUUGAUCCAGCAAGAGAGACGGAGAGGUAGAAGAGUUCUCCGGCAGCGUGUCGGCGCUCCGGAGGUUGGUGAUGAUCUCGUCUCAGCAGGGCUCCGCCCGAGCUCCGCAGAAACGCGAUCUAGAAGAAAACCCGUGGAGGUAUGUGGUCGGGCUGCCGUGGAGAAAUCGUCUCAAAUCAGCCCGAAAACCUCUGUAUAUAUAGGUGGGAGAGGGGGGACCUUGCCUUGGGGCUCAAGGAGCCCCAAGGGGGUCGGCCGAGCCAAAGGGGGGAAGGACUCCCCCCCCAAACCGAGUCCUACUUGGUUUGGUGGGUGGAGUCCUUCUUUCCUUUCCCACCUCCUCCUUUUUUUCUUUUCUCUUUGAUUUUUCUUCCAAUGCGCAUAGGGCCCUUUUGGGCUGUCCCACUAGCCCACUAAGGGCUGGUGCGCCACCCUCAAAGCCUAUGGGCUUCCCCGGGGUGGGUUCGCCCCCCCCCCCCGGUGAACUCCCGGAACCCAUUCGUCAUUCCCGGUACAUUCCCGGUAACUCCGAAAACCUUCCGGUAAUAAAAUGAGGUCAUCCUAUAUAUCAAUCUUCAUUUCUGGAUCAUUCCGGAAACCCUCGUGACGUCCGUGAUCUCAUCCGGGACUCCGAACAACAUUCGGUAACCAACCAUAUAACUCAAAUACGCAUAAAACAACGUCGAACCUUAAGUGUGCAGACCCUGCGGGUUCGAGAACUAUGUAGACAUGACCCGAGAGACUCCUCGGUCAAUAUCCAAUAGCGGGACUUGGAUGCCCAUAUUGGAUCCUACAUAUUCUACGAAGAUCUUAUCGUUUUAACCUCAGUGCCAAGGAUUCAUACAAUCCCGUAUGUCAUUCCCUUUGUCCUUCGGUAUGUUACUUGCCCGAGAUCCGAUCGUCACUAUCCGCUUACCUAUUUCAAUCUCGUUUACCGGCAAGUCUCUUUACUCGUUCCGUAAUACAAGAUCCCGCAACUUACACUAAGUUACAUUGCUUGCAAGGCUUGUGUGUGAUGUUGUAUUACCGUGUGGGCCCCGGGAUACCUCUCCGUCACACGGAGUGACAAAUCCUAGUCUUGAUCCAUACUAACUCAACGAACACCUUCGGAGAUACUUGUAGAGCAUCUUUAUAGUCACCCAGUUACGUUGCGACGUUUGAUACACACAAAGUAUUCCUCCAGUGUUAGUGAGUUAUAUGAUCUCAUGGUCAUAGGAACAAAUACUUGACACGCAGAAAACAGUAGCAACAAAAUGACACGAUCAACAUGCUACGUCUAUUAGUUUGGGUCUAGUCCAUCACGUGAUUCUCCUAAUGACGUGAUCCAGUUAUCAAGCAACAACACCUUGUUCAUAAUGAGAAGACACUGACUAUCUUUGAUCAACUGGCUAGCCAACUAGAGGCUUGCUAGGGACAGUGUUUUGUCUAUGUAUCCACACAUGUAAAUGAGUCUUCAUUCAAUACAAUUAUAGCAUGGAUAAUAAACGAUUAUCUUGAUACAGGAAUUAUAAUAAUAACUAUAUUUAUUAUUGCCUCUAGGGCAUAAUUCCUACAGAGACACGGCGUGCGACUUGGGCUACAGACCUGCUAGAGAGAGUCUGACGUGGGUUGGAUUGAUGGGCCCUGUGGCACAACAGCUGGCUGACCCUGAUGCCUCGUGAUUUAUGCAUGAUAAUUAGUACUAAAAAAUUACUUUAGACCCUGUAGCGCGUGCUGCAGGUUUGGACCAUAGGGCUCGACCAUGAUUGCAUGUAUAAUUAUCCUCACUGUAUUAUGCAGAAUGAAGAUUCUCGAAUUCAAAAGAGGACAAAUCUAUGACAUUGGGUUCAUUGACCCAAAUAACAUACAUGAUUAUACGUAAAAAACAACGCCAAGGAAAGAACAGAUAACUUGCUAAGGGCGUUAAGGAAACAACCAACCAAAAGGGAAAUACUAUUUCCUUACAGCUACAUGUGAGUGUUACUGGCUUGUACACAUUCUGUUUCGCUUACUUGAUGUUAAGUGUAAUUGAUGAGUUAUGCAUGCACAAGUUCCAUUUUAUUCUCCUAGUCAUUGAGGUUGUCGAAUGAGUAGUACUUGUCAUGGACUCGAAAUGUAAAAACGCCAAGACGUGGGCAGACCUGAGUGAAAUGCUCCAGAGGUAAUUACAAUUAUUAUUCCUUUUGAUUCAAAGAGGCGGCGGUGAAAAACCAUUCUUUGACUUUGGAGUUCCAAAUAGAAAAACAGUUCUCAUUUCUUCUUGUAGUCGAUUGGUCGUCCGUUCAUCUGCUUCAGUAUAUUUGCCCUAUUUUGCCUCUCUUUUUGUGCGGCGAAUGGCGAAAGACCCGAUGAGUAUUUUCGUACCACCUUCCAAUCUUCUUAGUCAGUUGUGCUUUCCGUCCGUAUUGAGCAACUCAAAUUCAUAGAAAGUCGUUGGUGCACCCACCCAGUGAGUAACUACUAAUGCAAUGAGUAACUACUAAUGUUACGAACAAAGAAACUUUCUAGAAGUGGACCCAACAAGCAAAGCAACGGAUUGAGCCGCACUGUAUUUAUUUUCUUUGUCGGGUAGGAUUUGGAAAUGGUUCACCAAGAAGGUUAGGGGUGAAUGAAAAGAGAAGUUGCAAUAUUGACAACUCAAUGUAAGUAAUAUUAGUUAGGUCCGUGUAUCUCUUUGAUUAUAGUUUCAGUACCAUUAUCAUGCUUGAUUAUUAUUUCGAUUGAACACUAUGUUGGGGAACGUCGCAUGGGAAACAAAAAAUUUCCUACGCGCACGAAGACCUAUCAUGGUGAUGUCCAUCUACGAGAGGGGAUGAGUGAUCUACGUAUCCUUGUAGACCGUACAGUAGAAGCGUUAGUGAACGCGGUUGAUGUAGUGGAACGUCCUCACGUCCCUCGAUCCGCCCCGCGAACUAUCCCGCGAUCAGUCCCACGAUCUAGUGCCGAACGGACGGCACCUCCGCGUUCAGCACACGUACAGCUCGACGAUGAUCUCGGACUUCUUGAUCCAGCAAGAGAGACGGAGAGGUAGAAGAGUUCUCCGGCAGCGUGACGGCGCUCCGGAGGUUGGUGAUGAUCUCGUCUCAGCAGGGCUCCGCCCGAGCUCCGCAGAAACGCGAUCUAGAGGAAAAACCGUGGAGGUAUGUGGUUGGGCUGCCGUGGAAAAAUCGUCUCAAAUCAGCCCUAAAACCUCCGUAUAUAUAGGUGGGAGAGGGGGGACCUUGCCUUGGGGCUCAAGGAGCCCCAAGGGGGUCGGCCGAGCCAAAGGGGGGAAGGACUCCCCCCCCCCAAACCGAGUCCUACUUGGUUUGGUGGGUGGAGUCCUUCUUUCCUUUCCCACCUCCUCCUUUUUUGUUCUUUUCUCUUUGAUUUUUCUUCCAAUGCGCAUAGGGCCCUUUUGGGCUGUCCCACCAGCCCUUAGGGCUGGUGCGCCACCCUCAAGGCCUAUGGGCUUCCCCGGGGUGGGUUGCCCCCCCGGUGAACUCCCGGAACCCAUUCGUCAUUCCUGGUACAUUCCCGGUAACUCCGAAAACCUUCCGGUAAUCAAAUGAGGUCAUCCUAUAUAUCAAUCUUCGUUUCCGGACCAUUCCGGAAACCCUCGUGACGUCCGUGAUCUCAUCCGGGACUCCUAACAACAUUCGGUAACCAACCAUAUAACUCAAAUACGCAUAAAACAACGUCAAACCUUAAGUGUGCAGACCCUGCGGGUUCGAGAACUAUGUAGACAUGACCCGAGAGACUCCUCGGUCAAUAUCCAAUAGCGGGACCUGGAUUCCCAUAUUGUAUCCUACAUAUUCUACGAAGAUCUUAUCGUUUGAACCUUAGUGCCAAGGAUUCAUAUAAUCCCGUAUGUCAUUCCCUUUGUCCUUCGGUAUGUUACUUGCUCGAGAUUCGAUCGUCAGUAUCCGCAUACCUAUUUCAAUCUCGUUUACCGGCAAGUCUCUUUACUCGUUCCGUAAUACAAGAUCCCGCAACUUACACUAAGUUAUAUUGCUUGCAAGGCUUGUGUGUGAUGUUGUAUUACCGAGUGGGCCCCGAGAUACCUCUCCGUCACACGGAGUGACAAAUCCCAGUCUUGAUCCAUACUAACUCAACAAACACCUUCGGAGAUACCUGUAGAGCAUCUUUAUAGUCACCCAGUUACGUUGCGAUGUUUGAUACACACAAAGUAUUCCUCCGGUGUUAGUGAGUUAUAUGAUCUCAUGGUCAUAGGAACAAAUACUUGACACGCAGAAAAUAGUAACAACAAAAUGACACGAUCAACAUGCUACGUCUAUUAGUUUGGGUCUAGUCCAUCACGUGAUUCUCCUAAUGACGUGAUCCAGUUAUCAAGCAACAACACCUUGUUCAUAAUCAGAAGACACUGACUAUCUUUGAUCAACUGGCUAGCCAACUAGAGGCAUGCUAGGGACAGUGUUUUGUCUAUGUAUCCACACAUGUAAAUGAGUCUUCAUUCAAUACAAUUAUAGCAUGGAUAAUAAACGAUUAUCUUGAUACAGGAAUUAUAAUAAUAACUAUAUUUAUUAUUGCCUCUAGGGCAUAAUUCCAACAGUCUCCCACUUGCACUAGAGUCAAUAAUCUAGCCCUCACAUCAUCAUGCGAAUUACAUUGUAAUAAAUCUAACACCCAUACAGUUCUGGUGUUGAUCAUGCUUUGCCCGUGGAAGAGGUUUAGUCAGCGGGUCUGCUACAUUCACAUCCGUGUGCACUUUGCAUAUAUUUACGUCCUCUCCUUCGACGUAGUCGCGGAUGAGGUUGAAGCGUCGUUUGAUGUGUGUGGACUUCUUGUGAAACCGUGGUUCCUUUGCUAAGGCAAUGGCACCCGUGUUGUCACAGAACAAGGUUAUUGGAUUCAGUGCGCUUGGCACCACUCCAAGAUUCGUCAUGAACUGCUUCAUCCAGACACCCUCCUUAGUCGCCUCCGAGGCAGCCAUGUACUCCGCUUCACAUGUAGAAUCUGCUACGACGCUUUGCU
rnacentral:lncRNA from 1 species